rnacentral:lncRNA from 1 species
GCCUGCAGAGGUGAGUGUAUAGCCUUGAGGGUCUUCAACAAAGAAUCCAGAGUUAGCCAAGAAUCGCAUUAAGCGAAAAAUGUGGGCAGAUUUAGAAGGGUGGAUUGGGAGGACAGAAAUCAGGUCAGAAAGUGUGAUGGGCUUCCCAUGAUUACUGAUCACAUCUGGGAUUCCCAACUCAACUGCGCAUUUUACACAUGCAGAUUUCUUGAAAUGGAACAUUGCAUUCCACACAUGAGUUUGAGCUUCAAGAAGCUCACCUAAAUUGUCAGCUUUUUCCAUCUUUUUGGGAACUUUAUUUUCAAAUUCAAUGGCUGUAAUUCAGUUGUAAAUAACAAAUGGUCAAGCAGGACUCCAUUUAUAUGCUAGUAAGUAGAUUUCUCCUGUGCCUCCUAUAAGGCUAUAUUUGAUUGGUUUCCAGGCUUUCAAAGCAUCUAAAUAGGUUUGGCGGAUCUAGAGGUGCCAAACUUCACCACACCAAAUAAAUACGCCCAAGUAAUUUGAUUAAAAUAUCUAAUUGCUGACGCAAUUACAAUUAUUAAUUAGUAACUGAGAAAAUUCAGAACGAAUGAACCACGGGCAAGACUGAGAGUAAAUUGAAGCAACCACCAUUGAUGGUGACAUAAAAGUUGAAACAAAUGGUUAUGGGGGCUUGACUAGCUCUUUGAGGAUCGACGGGAUAGCAUUUGUUUUGCCGUAUUCUUAAUGGUAGACAUCUUCCAUGUUACAAGCAGAUACAGAAAAGGAAAUCCAAAAAAAGGAUGUCAUCUUCCUUGUUCACUACAAUUGCUGGAACUUUAUAUUAGAAAAUCUCAUAUUAGUGUCGGGGUGCUUUUUAAUCUUGUAUGGGCUCACAAAAGGUCGAUUCUUUAAUUUUGACUCGUCAAGGAAAUUUUGUUUAAUGUGGCCUCUCACAUAAAAUAGCAGAAGGCUAAAGCCUAAAAGUUGUAUCUCGUGUAUAGUAUAGGUUUUCUUAUGUGUACUUGAGGGCUUUUUCUCUUGAAAAAAUGUUGUUGCAAAUAUUAACUUAAGUUUUACAGUUUGGCGUAAAAAUAAAUUAUUGAUUAAUCUGGGCCCAAAUGCAUUAAAUUUGAAUUUUGCGAGUUGGGCAAUUAGGUAUGCAGAUUUUGCAAUCUGGGACGUGGAGACCCUAAGAGUGGUUUUAGGCAAGAAAGUGUGGCAUGGAUCUUCAGAAAUUAAUUCAUUUACAGAAAGAGCUCUCCUUUUCUUUAUUUCUGUUUUUUUUUUCAAAGCUUCACUAGUCAAUAGUUAGUGACACCCUAUUUUAUUCAUCUUCAGUUUCCAUGCACAAUACGCAAAGUGGAACGGAGUAUAACCGACAUGUAGGCACAUUUGACGGUUAGCAACAAGGAAUAAAAUUACGAGCAAACCAUGAGUUUCAAUCCUGGUUACGUAUAUCUAUCUAUGAAAUAAAAAACUGAAUUUAUAAAUCUUCAACUUUGGCCCGUGAACUUAGAAAACUACUCGUACAUCAUCAAGUCUCCAGGUGUUAAAAGCAAAAUAUAUAAAUAUAGUGAGAGUAAUCCAACUAGAAACGAUUGUCCAUCUCUUUUUAAAGUAAAAAUUUACCUUGAAUAUAUGGUAAGAGUUUGACAUGAGCUCCUACACGUGAUGUUUUCAUAUUGGAUGAAGGGAAGCUGCAAUACUGGUUAGGUGAUACUAGUGCGAGUGAUGUUUGCUUGAGCACUAAAAGCUUUCCUUUGAAGAAAAUUAAGAGGUUGUUUGAAUUGCAUUUUGAGGAAGAGAUUUUGGGAAAGAAAUUACUGUUAUACUUUUUUAAUGUAAUUUUCAUGAAAUAAAAAGAUGUUUGAAAAAUGUAUUAAGCGAAUAUUCGAUAAAAACGCAGAGUUUCCACAAAAGGUGGCAAUGCAAAGUGUCAUUGGACUUGUUUUCGAGAGAAGAUGCUGUGUCAGACGAAGGGUCAAUUCCAAUUUGCACCAAUAAUACCUUUUUAUCUUGAAGACCAAUAUGAUUGUAAUGUCGCCUUCAAGGAGGGAUCAGAUAAGAGUUCUCGGAUAAUUAUUGGUCAAAGCAAUUCAAUAAGCAAUAAUACUCCAGUGUAUUUGGUUGUUUAAGUCACACAGAAAAUUGAACUAACAAUCUAUUAAUUGUAUUCCUGAAUCGUCUUCUAUCUUUUUUCUUUUUUUUUUUCAAUUAGUGAGUCGUCUUCUAUUCUGAUUGCAUGAUACUUAGUUUAGCUGAUUGGUGAAGACCGAGCAGAGAUUGUGCAAAUUUUGGCACAUAUCAAAUCUUUGGUGCAUGUAACACUGUGUUUCAUUACCACAAAUUAAGCACCAGAAAAAAACACUUGCAGGAAGUAAUCUUUGUUGUUUGUAUACACCAAGACCCAUAAAUAUGUAUAUGUUUAUGUUGUAAUGGUACUAACGUUCCUUUAUUAGGGAUUAACCUCAAUGAGAUCCCUUGUACCCAACACUGGAAAGACUUUAUAGCUGUUGAAACCAGCAUCCCAGAAGAGUAUUGCCCAGUCUUUCUCAGUUCUUUCUUUGGCACCAUAAAGAACCAACAUCUGCAUCACCGUGUCUAUGCAUCACCCUUCUUCCGUACCAUCUGCAUGUCCAAACAUAUCUGGGCUUCAACUGACUCAUGAUUUUCUAACUGGCUCUUCAUCACCAUGUCUAUGAUAAUCACUUUUCCCCCUUUGUCUCUUCCUGGAAUGGCCUUUUUGCAGUUCUUGAGUAUCUUCACACAGUCUUCAUCGCUCCAGUCAUGGAGAAUCCGCUGUUACAAAUAAAAUCACACAUUAAAAUGAAGUACAGAUAGAAUUUUUGAAGCUCAAAAUUUAGCCUUGGGUGGAUUACUAUAAACUGCAUUUGAAGAACUCGUGCAUUUAUCUUUGACUUUUCAUGAGAACUAGGGCUGCAAACGAACCAAACCGCUCGCGAGCGGCUCGAGUCAAAAUUCGACUCGAACUCGAUCAAUAUGAAACUCGAGUCGCAUUCGAGCUAGCCAAAUCGAACUCGAGAUCAAAAUAUUAAACUCGGGAUUGCGAGCUCGAGUAUAUAUAUAUAUAUAUUUAUUUAUUUAUUUAUUAUUUUACUAGUAAAAUUACAUAUAUCCCUAAUAUUUUAUUAUUUAUUAAGAAAAAAUGAUUAUUUGUUGUUUUUAUUAGAUUAAUUUUCAGAAACUCGAGCUCACGAGCUGCUCAUGAGUCAGAAAUUCGAGUUACAUUACAAGCUGACAAUUCCAGCUGCUCGCGAGCUAGAAAUCGAGGUACAGCUCGCGAGCCUUGUCGACUUGAGCUCAAGCCUGGCUUUUCCUUGGUCAAAUCGAGCUCGAACUCAAUUUUCUUGGCUCGUCGAGCUCGAGCUUGAGCUCGAACUCAAGUCUACCUAUUAUUAAGUCGAACUCGGUUCGAUAAGUCCAAAACUCGACUCAACUCGGUUCGUUUGCAGCUCUAAUGAGAACAGAUGUAGAUAUGACUACUUUGCUGUUUUUAUAAUGAUAAAUGACCCAAAAUUUCUGAAGUCUUACAUAAUUACGCAUUUUAGCCAAAAUGUGAAAAGCAAAAGACAAAGUAAACGUUGCAUUAGUUUUUUUAAGGUGUGAUGCUUGUUAUUUUUGCAUGUCUCUAAAUGUUAUCCACUAAAAGGUGAAAUCAUCAUUAUUACUCUUUCCCACUUAUUUGUUGUAAAUGACAUGGACCACACUUUCUAGACUUAAAUUAAGUUUUGGAUGGUUAGAAUUAGAAUUUUUUUUAAAUGACUAUAUUAAAAAAAAAGGUUGAGUUCACACAAAAUGGCAAAAGAAUAUGGGACACGGGAAAUAUAAAAAUUGAUGAACCCUUAGGGGGCAACACAAGGAAAAGGUUAAAAAUGGAUAAGGAUAUUUUGUUUGACAUCUUUACCUUGAGUAAGAUUGCAUUGGCUGGUGGUACCUCCUCUAACAUAUCUGCUGCAGCGAAGUCCAAGUUCUGAGUUUCCUCUUGGUUGGCAACCACAUGUGGGAGAUCAAGAACAGUGCACUUUAAGUUGGGGAAGGCUUUGGCAAUGGACCUAGCAACCGUGCCGGUGCCACCCCCAACAUCCACCAAAGAUGUCAGGCCUUCAAACACAUAUUUCUUAGAGGCUCAUUUGUGGACGGCAUAACAUUUUAUUGACUUCUAUUAUUGAAAGCCGAGCCAGAGUUUGAAACAGUAGAUCAGCAUACUUAAUCGCUUCGACAGUCGAAACCGACAAAUUUCAUUUUCGUAUGAUCAUUGACAAUAGGACCAAAUAAUAAUUACUGUGCAAAAGGAUAUAUUCAACAUUAACAACGUCAGCAAUUUAACUUUUUUUAAUUCUUGGAUAUCUUUUCCCUUUUAGUGUGCAAUCCAAAACACUUGUUUAUCAAUUAUUUUAAGGCUUAAUCCUAGACAUAAACAAGUACUAAUCAUUGUUCAAUAGUACAUACGUAUGUUCGGAAUCUCGAAAACAUGGACGUGAUUAGUAAUCUAGUAACAUUUUUAAAUAUUUUUGAGAUUUUUUUCCUUUUACAUUUAGUGUGAAAUUCCAAAACACUUAUUUACGUUGAUUAAUUUGGAUUAUUAGAAAAUUUGGCAAUGCGAAGUGGCUUAAUCGUAGCCAUAAGAAAGUAAUAGUUGUUGAAGACGCGGACCAAAAAAGGAAGAAAAAAAGAGUUGUUGAAGAUUAAAAUUGACAUCAGAUGAGGAUUAUAAAAAAAUACAUAUGGGUAUCAAAUGGGAAGGGAAGGAUAUGACUGUUAUAACGGGGAUAAAAACCUUUCAGACAGUUGUAGAAUAAAACAUGAUAAACAUUAAAAAGAAAACUUUAAAACUUUUCUUUGAAUAAAAAUCCAAUUUUACAUUAAAAGUUUUUUUGGCUGUUAUUUAAAAUAUAUUUUAUAAAAAACUUUGCUGUUGUUGGCUUUUUAUUUUAAAUUUUUUUUUUUGAUAAUGCAACCGCUUCCAAGAUUAUAGCACUGAUGCAUGUCACAAAUAGUUUAAGUCGUAUAUUGCAAUUGGCUUAUAGGAUAAUUGUUGCUUCAGAAGGUUAUCAACAAUAAACAGAGCACAAAUGCGAUCUCAGUUGCUCAUAAUUUCGUGAUUAGAGUACUAAAAAAAACAUUCGAGAGCCCCUUUUUUUGGCUCAUUUUGUUCGAUGCUGAUUUAGUACAACAUCAAGGUUAUUAAGUUGAAAAGUGAUAGGUUGUAUUUGUGUCAUUAAUUUUAUGGUUAUUUCCCUCUUUUAUUUUACCAAAUAUUACGUUAAUUAGUGGAAUAUACUUAUAUUUGGUAAUUAUGUUGAUUGUAGAGAUUUGGAGCGAAAAAGAGUUAAGAACGUAAAUUUUAACUAAUUUAUGUGCAAUUCGGCGUGAGCGUGUCAAGGUCCACUUCGCAUGUCCGGAAAUUCGGAAUUUGGCGCGUGAUUUUCAACCUUGAAUUGGAGUUGGUUUGAAGUCAUGGGAGUCAGGCUUUGUCCCAUUCCUAUUAGGACACUAGUAUAGUCAGCUAUCAUGACUUUUUGAGACAAUCUUUUUUAUCUAAUAGAAAGUUUAUUUUAUUUAAAAAUCUACAAAAUAGGAGUGAUUGGCUAGUUUCUUGGGUGAUUAGCACUUCCGAAAAGGCAACAAUUGCCGUGACUAUUCUGGGGCCAAUUGGAACUUGCUUUCAUUUGGGUAGUAGUAGUUUAGUAGUAGUAGGAGUCUAGUCAGUAGCAUUUUCUUUUAGUCGUUUCCUUAUUUCUUGGCUAUGAUGAAGGAGCCGCUUGGCUUUUCUCUUCGGCGGGUCAUCUUCUCCGUUUUUCUUCUUUUGUUGAACGUUGAUGUAAUUUCCUUAAAUAGAAUUGCGUGAGUUACUCUCAAUGGAGAAUAACUAAUUUUAUUUUCUAGUCGAAGGUCAACUUAAAGACCCGGUUCCAAAUAUCUGUGAGAUCGAAUUAUUUUACUUAUUUCUUUUAUUCAUUGGUAUUCGUAUGUUUUCUGGUUUAACUUCUUAUGAUUGUUUUGUUAUUUGAAUGUCAAGGGUCCGAUAUUUGAAUUAACCUAAUAAUCUAUUGGCAAAUUAAUCGAUUAAAUCCAUAAUUAUUUAAUCGAUUAAUACCAAUGACGACUAGUGUGAUUGGUCUCAUGUUAAGAAAACGUAUAAUCUAAUUUAAAUAAACUCUCGUAGCCUGUUUGUUGGUGAGGGUUGGGUUUUACUAAUUCUUAAUGCAAUUGAGGAAUUGACUCCUACGAUUGUAUCUAGGGUUAUUUCUUGGUUAGAAAAAUAAUUAAUGGUCGUACCUUGACUAUCGAAAAAAUAAGAAAAAGUUGGUUGUUUAUCGCGUGUAUAGCAAUUAUAACCAAUCUAUUAAUGAGUAUUGAAUUAUCUUUGCAUCAAUGAUCAGUUGAAUGGACCGUGUCUGAAAAGUUGCACCUUUGGCUAGAGUCGUAUCUCUUAUUGAUUAAUUCUUGUUUAUUUUCAUGAGUUGUUUUUAUUUAGUUAAUUAGUUAUUUUUAUAAAACCCCCUAUCUCUGGACUCUAAAAAAAAUAAAUUAUCUCCAGUCCCUGUAGAUUCGACCCUACUCACUGACAGGUGUCGAGCCUGUGCAAUAAUAAAUACCUACUCGAGAAAAAUAAAUUUUCUGUGUAUAGUAGUGAGUAGGGUCGAAUCCACAGGGACUGGGAAAAAUUUGAUUCCUUUCAAGUUCGGGACACGGGGGAUUUUUAUCAGAAAUAAACUAAAAAUAAUUAAACAAUUUAACUAAAAAUAAUUAAAUAAUUUAACCAAAAAUAAAUAAUUAAUUAAUACAAUUGUAAAUAGCAAUUAAAUAAAUGAUAAAUAAAUUCUAGCCAAGGAUACAACUACGCAGACACAGUCCAUUCAUCCGAUCAUUGAUGCAAAGAAGGUUCACUUAAUUUUAUUAACAGGUUAGUUAUAGUCGCCGAUAAACUCUAACGACCAGCUUUUCCUUAAUUUAUUGAUAACCAAGGUACGACCGUUGAUUACCCCUAACCAGGAAAUACUCCUUGGUACGACCGUAGGAAUUAAUUUCCUAAUUGCAUUAAAAACUAGAAAAGCCUAACCCAAAUUAAUAACACGCUACGAGGGUUAUUUAAAUCAGAUUGCAUGUCCCCGUAGUAUGUGAAAAUACUAGUUGUCACUAAUAUUAAUCAACUAAACAAUUACGGAUUUAAUUGAUUAAUUUGACAAGAGAUUAAUAAGUCAAAUUGCACAUCGGGCCCUUGAUAUCCAAUUAACAAAAUAAUCCCAUGGAAAUUAAAAUAGAAAACAUGCAAAUAUUAAUAAAUUAAGGAACACGUAAAAUUAAUUAGAUCUCACAGAUAUUUGGGACUGCGUCUUCGCGUUGAUCCUUGACUAGAGGAGAAGAUUAGCCACGCCUCAUGAUAAAAUUCUCACGCAAUUUAAAUGGAAUCAAAUACAUAAAUAACUAAUUAAGAAUUUAGGAAGAAACUUGAGUCUCGCUAGACUCUUUUAAGAAAAGUUGCACACCACACAACAAGGAAGGAAGAACUCCUCCUCUGAAAACCAAAAACUACCUCUAUCCUCCUACGGAGCUUCCUGGAGAGAAAACUAAAACUAGUCUAAUGUCUUAUGAAGCUUCUCCCUCUAAUUCUCCUCCGCACUAGUUUCAUAAGAGAACUAGUUACGUAGGAAGCAAAUAGAAAAGCUACUUUCAUCAUCAAAGUCCACCUAUGGCUAAUGAGUACAUCUCCCAAAAGAAGAACACAUUUUCUAAAUCAAUGUUACGUGGUCCCCGCAGAAUUGUCUCCUUUUGAUUUCUUAUUGUUAGUGGACUUGCCAGGACUUAAUAAUAGGAAGGCAACUCUUCAUCAUCAAUUCCGUUGGUUUGCACAAUUUGGGCUGAUUGUGGAAAGCUUCUCACGUGUGGAGAAAUCUUCUCAAGAAGGUCCCCUUUUAGCACUUUUCUGCUCCACUUUCUGAAAUUAUAUCCAAAUACCAAAUAUAAAUAUAUAUUGACAAUUAAAGCAAUAUUUGGCAAGGAUAAAGAGGAGAAUUAACAAUAAAAUUACUAACAAUUAACACCCUAUCAAUUCCCCUCACACUUAAAUCAUGCUUGUCCUCAAGCAUGGGAACACUAAACUCAACAAUGGCUAACUCUCAUUUCAUUUACUGCCAAGCUACGCUUAUCCCAAAAUCAAGUUUUAGUGGCUAAGUGUCAAGACAUAUUUCUCCCGGUUAGCUCCUGAAAUCAUAGACUCGUCCAAUUCAUGGCUAACUCGUCUAAGAAAUCAAAAUAUUAAACUAGCAAAAGUUAGCAAUUGGGUCAACUGAAAAUCAAAAUCUCAACAUUGAAGAACAAGGAUCGGCAGGCCAACAUGAUCAUAAGCUUACUUAUUAUUUUCUUCUCUCUUUUUUUUUUCGAUAAUAAUUAAUUUUUUUUUUUAAAUGCUCAGUCCCAAGCUAUUCAAGUCUUUUGACGUGAACUCUGACAUUUUUAGAUGAAAGAGCCCAGUUACUCAACUUUUCACAGCUUCAGGACUAACUACUCAUAGAUAUCGCCACUUUUUGACGCGAGAGUCGACACUUGUGGUGAAGACUCCCGGUUACUGGGUGAUGACACUAGCGGAGUAGAGUCAUUUAUUAACCACAAUUAAAGCAUCAGAAUACCAGAUAAUUAAAGAUCAUGACCCACGUCAUCUCCUAACAUGGAGAACUGAGAUCAACAAUUGCCCAAUCCACACAACAAUUGCUAAUAAAAUAUUUAUAUUGCCUAAACAAGUUAACCACAAUUUGCACCAAGUCAUUAAACUUAUGAUAUUCACCAAGAUAACAUGCCUUUACUUGCCACUUAAACUAAAUUCAUAGGAUAAAUCACAACCAGUAAUAGAAGAGUGAGUUGCCACAUUUAUUCAUCAAGACAACAAUAAGAAAAGCAACAAUUUAAAGAAACUCCAAUUAAAUCCAAAUCCCCCCCUACACUUAAAGCACACAUUGCCCUCAAUGUGAUAAAGAAAAAGACAAAGUAAGAAGCAGGGCAACGAAACUCCCCUGAAGUUGUCAAGAUAGCGGCGGGUUAGGCGGAAAUUGAGGUUCAACACUCGCGUGGUGCAUAAACGCCGCCAAAUUCUCUGAUCAGCCCUUGGGGUUGAAGGAGGUGGAGCGGAGGUCGAAGGGCCGGGGUGUUCUAGACUUAGAAGAAGAUUUGGGUUUCACCAUUUCUUUCCAAAUUGCACUCCAAACCACAAUAAACAACAGUUGCUAAAGCAAUUGAAAUGCAAACAGACAAAAGGCUCUCAUAUAAGGCAAUUGAAGGCAAUCUACUUCAAUAAGUAAAUUUAAGUGUUAAAGGCACCUCCCAAUUGAACAAACAACGGUAGCAAAUUACCCACAGUUAGACACAAAGUACAGCAGAUUAAACACAAUUCGACCUAAAAUAUAUAUAUAUAUAUAAUGAUUAAUCAAUAAAGAUAUGCAAAACACCCUAAACUAGUAUCAUCGGUGCACGCAUAAGGAAUAAGUAAAUCACACGACUAACCACAAGUCAAUCUACUAAAUAAAUAAAAAUCAAGCAAAGUAAAAAGAAACAAGCAAAGUAACACAGAAGUACCCAACUAAGGAGGAAUAGAAAUGUCAGGUAGUCCAAACACACAAAAUUUUCAAAAACGUACUGUAAUAAAAAUAAUAAAAACAUACUGCAAUAAUAAAAUAAGAAAAUAAAAAAAAAAUAAUAGAAAGAGAUUGAGGCAGGUGCGUGCAUACGAAGCCAGUGGUGCGAUGAAGGUGGUGGCUGUGAGAGAGAAGAGUUUGCGGCAGCUGGAUCUGGUGGUGCGCGGCUUUCGGGGCUUCAGGCGGAUCUUGGAGGCGGUGGCUAUGGCAAGAGUGAAGGAGGUCAGAUGAGCUGGUGGUCACCCUUGGCGAGGAGAGCCGAGGCAGCGGCGAGAAGAGCUGGGGUGGGCGGCGGUGGGAAGUGCGACGCGCGGCUGUGGAGCAGAGCGGCAGGCGGAUGAAGAAGAAAAGAAAAGGGGAAAAAGAAAGCAGCGGGGAAGAAGGAAGAAAGAAAAAAGAAAGAAAGAAAGAAAGAAGAAAAGAAAGAAAGAAGAAAAAGAAAAGAGAAGAGGAAUUUUUUUUUUUUUUUUAGUUUAUUUUAGUUUAUUUUAUUUUUAUUUUAUUUUUUUGCAAAAACAUGGUUUGGGUCGUCCAACACCGCGCGGGCACGCCAAGAUUGGUCUUCGUCCUCUGGUCUCAGAAAACUCAAACACCGCGUGGGCACGCCAAGAUUUCACUUCCUGAUUGCAGUGAAGGAAAUAUUAAUACAGAUACUACCCAACAAGUAAAUGACCCAAUGCAAAAGAAGAACAACUAGAAAUAACAAGACUAAUAUUCGGGUUGCCUCCCAAACUAGCGCCUUUCUUUAGUGUCUUUGGCUAGACAUAACCCGUAUGCAUCAUCUCUACCCGCUCAACUGGAACCCCUUCAUAAUACGGCUUAAGACGAUGUCCAUUCACCACAAAUUUCUUCUCUGUCCUUAGACUCUGGAUCUCCACUGCACCAUAAUCAAAGACAUUAGUUACCACAAAGGGACCAAUCCAACGAGAACGUAGCUUACCUGGAAAUAACUUCAAUUUGGAGUGAUACAGUAGAACUUUUUGUCCACAUUCAAACGUCUUCCUAGAGACCUGCUGGUCAUGAAAAAUCUUGUUUUUCUCCUUAUAAAUCACAGCAUUCUCGUAGGCUUCAUUGCGAAUCUCCUCCAAUUCUUGUAACUGCAGUUUUCUUUGAAUUCUGCCCUCUUCGAUAUCCAUGUUGCAUUGCUUGACUGCCCAAAAUGCUCUAUGCUCGAACUCGACAGGGAGGUGGCAUGGCUUCCCAAAUACCAAACGGUAAGGGGACAUGCCGAUUGGCGUCUUGUACGCCGUUCUAUAUGCCCACAAGGCAUCUUCAAGUCUUAUACUCCAAUCCUUCCUAUCGGGUCGAACCAUCUUCUCCAAAAUUGACUUGAUCUCUCGGUUCGAUGCCUCCGCCUGACCGUUUGUCUGAGGAUGGUAAGAAGUGGAGACUUUGUGCAAGACACCGUACCUCCUGAAAAUUGCAGCGAUCGUUUUGUUGCAGAAAUGAGUACCCCGAUCACUUACAAUUGCUCGCGGCAUCCCAAAACGAACAAAAAUAUUAGAUUUAACGAAUUCUGCAACCACUUUGGAAUCAUUAGUGCGGGUGGCCUUUGCUUCUACCCACUUCGAAACAUAAUCUACAGCAAGCAAUAUAUACAAAAAACCAAAGGACGAAGGAAAAGGACCCAUAAAAUCAAUGCCCCAAACGUCAAAAAUUUCAACAAAAAUCAUUGGGGUUUGAGUCAUUUGAUCCCUACGAGAGAUAUUACCCACUCUUUGACACUUAUCACAUGACUUACAAAAUGAGUAGGCAUCCUUGAAUAGAGUUGGCCAAUAGAAUCCACUCUCUAGCACCUUACGAGCUGUUCUCUUCGGUCCAAAAUGACCUCCACACGCAAAAGAGUGACAAUAGGCUAUAAUAGAUUGAAAUUCAACUUCACUUACACAUUUACGGAUGAUUUGAUCGGCACCCCGCUUUCAGAGGUAAGGAUCAUCCCAAAUGUAGAACUUUGCAUCGCUCCUCAACUUGUCUCUCUUUGCCUUAGGCCAUCCUGUAGGAAAUUUGUCAGUGACUAGAAAAUUAACAAUAUCUGCAUACCAAGGCAAAGAUGAAUUAAUAGAAAAUAAAUGCUCCUCGGGGAAUGCUUCUCUCAAUGGGAUGUCAUCUUCGGUGACUUGUACUCGACUCAAGUGAUCUGCUACUAGAUUCUCCGUCCUUUCUUAUCUCGGAUCUCCAGGUUGAACUCUUGUAGCAACAAUAUCCACCGUAUCAAUCGCGGUUUUGCCUCUUUUUUGGUCAACAGAUACCGCAAAGCUGCAUGAUCAGAAAAAAUAAUAACUUUAGCACCAAGUAAAUAAGACCGAAAUUUUUCUAAGGCAAAAACAAUUGCUAAAAGCUCCUUUUCGGUGGUUGAAUAGUUCAAUUGAGCUCCGUUCAAGGCUCGAGAUGCGUAGUAAAUAGCAUGAGCUGCUUUUCCUACUCUUUGACCCAAUACCGCACCAACUGCAUAGUCACUGGCGUCGCACAUGAUCUCGAAUGGGAGGUUCCAGUCAGGGGGUUGGAUAAUAGGUGAGGUGAUCAAUAACUCCUUUAACUUAUUAAAUGCCCCCUUACAUGUUUCAUCAAAUUCGAAGGAUACAUCUUUUUGCAAAAGUUGGAACAAGGGUGCUCCAAUUUUCGAGAAAUCCUUGAUGAACCUUCUAUAGAAACCUGCGUGACCCAAGAAGGAACGAACUUCCCGCACACUCGCGGGGUAAGGUAAAGUAGAUAUAACAUUUAUUUUUGCCUUAUCAACCUCAAUACCUGUAGAUGAUACUACAUGACCCAAAACUAUCCCGUGUUCAACCAUAAAAUGACAUUUUUCCCAAUUAAGCACGAGAUUAGUUUCUAUAUACCUUACUAAGAUCAAUUUCAGAUUAUCUAGACAGUUUUCAAAACUUUCACCAUAUACACUGAAAUCGUCCAUGAAAACCUCAAUAAUUUUCUCAACAUAUUCUGAAAAGAUACUUACCAUGCAUCUUUGAAAGGUAGCAGGUGCAUUACACAAUCCAAAUGGCAUCCUUCGGUAUGCAAAUGUUCCAAAUGGGCAGGUGAAAGUAGUCUUCUCUUGGUCCUCGGGUGCGAUGGCAAUUUGAAAAUAACCUUAAAAUCCAUCCAAGAAACAAUAGUAAGCUCGACAUGCUAAUCGCUCCACCAUCUGGUCAAUGAAAGGGAGGGGGAAAUGGUCCUUUUUCGUGACGGCAUUUAGCUUUCGGUAAUCGAUACACUGUCGCCAUCCGGUGGGCUUUCGAAUUGGUACGAACUCACCCUCUUGGUUUGAUUCCACUGUCACCCCUGCCUUCUUCGGGACCACCUGUACUGGACUUACCCACGGGCUAUCUGAUAUUGCAAAUAUAAUUCCAACGUCCAGCAAUUUUAAAAUCUCUUUCUUUACGACCUCCAUCAUGAGAGGAUUUAAUCUCCGUUGAGCUUGCCGUACAGGUUUAGCAUUCUCCUCGAGUCGAAUUCGGUGCAUACACACCGCGGGGCUAAUUCCCUUGAUGUCGGCGAUGGUCCAUCCUAUCGCCUGCUUAUGUUCCCUAAGAAAUCGAAGUAAUUUCUCUUCUUGAACCUUUGAUAAACCCGCGGAGAUGAUCACUGGAAGUGUCUCCCCUUCACCUAAGUAUACAUACUUUAGGUGUUUCGGCAGUUGUUUUAGUUCCAAGACAGGUGCCUGCACCACAGAUGGAAGUAACCUUUGAUGAGGUUCGGGUAUGAAAAUCGGUGCAAGAUCAUACCUUGUCUUCGUGGUUGGUAACGUUUGCAACGAUCCAAUCACGCAUUUAAGUUCUUCACUCAAUUCUACCCUAGAGGUUGUUUCGGACUCAAAGUGCCUGGUCAGGACGACCUCUAGUUCAUCCCUGCCUUCAAUUUCAAAAACCUCCUGUAUAGCAGGGUCAAUAACAUUUAUCGAGAAAACAGAGCCAAUAUUUGAAUCGGAUGGAUAUUUCAUGGUCUCAAAGAUGUUAAAGUGAACAAUCUCACCAUCAAAUUCCAUAGACAAAGUACCCUUAUUAACAUCAAUUUUGGUUCGGACUGUGCUCAAAAAGGGUCUACCUAACAACAAAGGUGACGGAUCACGGGAGUGUUCAUCCUCCAUGUCGAGCACAUAAAAAUCAGCUGGAAAAACCAAUUCAUUAAUUUUUACCAAAACAUCUUCAAUCAACCCGUCAGGGUAUGCAUUGGUCUUGUCAGCUAAUUGGAUUAUUAUCCCAGUCUCUUUCAAAGGGCCUAAGUUCAAUGAAGCAUAAAUGGACUUUGGCAUGACAUUAAUCGAGGCUCCUAGGUCUAACAUGGCCUUUCCAAUCAAAGUAUUACCUAUCCUACAAGGAAUAGUAAACAUACCUGGAUCUCCGCAUUUUGGUGGAAGUUUCCUUUGUAGAAUUGCUGAAACAUUCUCCCCAACUAUAACUCAUUCAUCCCCCUUCAACCGCUUGCGGUUGGCACACAAGUCCCUCAAAAAUUUUGUGUACCUGGGUACUUGUUUAAUCGCAUCCAGCAGGGGUAUGUUGAUCUCCACCUUGCGAAAGAUCUCCAAGACCUCUUUUUCCUUGUCUUGCUUCUUUGGUUUUUCUAACCUGCUAGGAAAGGGAGGUGGAUUAGUUUUAGUUGUAGGAAUUGGAUUCGAGAGUACCUUUGCAUUUUUGUUGUCUGUGCCCUCCUCUUCCAAUUCUUUCUCAAUCCGUUCCUCGUCCUUGUCUUUAGGAAUCACCGGUUCGGGUCCUUGAACUUCCUUGCCACUCCUUAAGGUCAUUGCGCUUACAUUCUUUGGAUUUGCCUCAGGUUGAGAUGGCAACUUUCCUUGAACUUGGGACUCCAACCGGUUGAUUGUUAUAGCCAUUUGAUUCAUUUGAUUUUGCAAUGAUUGCACCUGUCCCAGUUGAUUCCUCAUGCUUUGCAAGUCUGAAUCCGUCUUUUGUUGAUUAGCAAGUAAUUGCUUCAUCAUCUCUUCCAUGGACGGACUUGAGUUUGAAAGGGGUGGUGGUGGUGGUGGGCGAGAAUGGUACUGCUGUUGGUGUCCUUGCUGUUUAUUUGGCACAAAGUUAGACUGCCUAUUUGCUCCAUAACUAAGGUUGGGGUGAUCCCUCCAACCAGGAUUGUAGGUGUUUGAGUACGGGUCGUACUGCUUUCUUGGCGCGGGCGCGUGGCCAGCCAUGUUCACCUAUUCAGCAGUUUCUUCUUGAACCAAUGGACACAUUUCCGUAGGAUGACCCACGGCAGUGCACACCCCACACACUUUGACUUGUGAAGCACUCCCCACAGCUAAUUGUCUUACGAAAGAUGUUAAUUCGGAGAUCUGCUGUUGGAUAGAGGACGUUUCCACCUCAUUCACCCUACGCGUCGGGAUGUCCUCUCUUGAACCAAACUGCUGUGAGUUCUCAGCCAUCCCCUCAAUCAACUCCCAGGCUCCUCGAGGAGUUUUGUUCACCAACGCUCCUCCACUUGCAGCAUCGAUUAUGCUUCUGUCCCUGAAAAGUAAUCCCUCAUAGAAAUAUUGGAUGAGCAGUUGCUCACUUAUCUGAUGUUGAGGGCAUUUGGUGCACAGUUUCUUAAACCUCUCCCAGUACUCAUAGAGUGACUCGCCUGGGUGUUGUUUGAUGCCACAUAUCUCCUUCCUUAGGCUUGCAGCUCGAGAUGCCGGAAAGUACUUGUCCAAGAAUUUUUUCUUCAAUUGGUCCCACGUGGUGAUACUACCAGGCGGUAAGUAGUAGAGCCAGUCUUUCGCGGAGUCCUUCAAAGAGAAGGGGAAGGCCCUCAUCUUUAUUUGCUCUUCUGUAAUUCCCGGAGGCUUCAUACUGUUACAAACGACGUCAAACUCUUGCAAGUGCUUGUAGGGCUCCUCACCUGGUAGACCAUGAAAAGAUGACAAGAGAUGAAUUAGACCAGAUUUUAGUUCAAAGGGAGUGUCAUCAUUUAAAUGUGGAAAAGUAAUGCACAAGGGCUGCUGAUUUAAAUCAGGAGCAGCCAACUCCCUUAGUGUUCGUGCAUUUGCCAUAGUGACUUCCUCUUGGUCUGAAUCACUUGAAUUGUCACCAGACAAAUUUGUCGGCUCAACCUCUGGAUCAAGUUCCUGAGGUGCAAUAUCGUAUUGCUCCUCCCUAAGCCGCCUGGUUUCUUUCCUCGUUCUACGCGCGGUCUUCUCUACUUCAGGGUCGAAAAUUAAUUCGCCUGUACGAGAAGAGCGAGGCAUAAACUAGAAAAAUACCAGGAAAAAAAAUGAACUUAAAAGAAACAAAUAAUUAACGCCAGUCCCCGGCAACGGCGCCAAAAAUUGACAGGUGUCGAGCCUGUGCAAUAAUAAAUACCUACUCGAGAAAAAUAAAUUUUCUGUGUAUAGUAGUGAGUAGGGUCGAAUCCACAGGGAUUGGGAAAAAUUUGAUUCCUUUCAAGUUCGGGACACGGGGGAUUUUUAUCAGAAAUAAACUAAAAAUAAUUAAACAAUUUAACUAAAAAUAAUUAAAUAAUUUAACCAAAAAUAAAUAAUUAAUUAAUACAAUUGUAAAUAGCAAUUAAAUAAAUGAUAAAUAAAUUCUAGCCAAGGAUACAACUACGCAGACACAGUCCAUUCAUCCGAUCAUUGAUGCAAAGAAGGUUCACUUAAUUUUAUUAACAGGUUAGUUAUAGUCGCCGAAAAACUCUAACGACCAGCUUUUCCUUAAUUUAUUGAUAACCAAGGUACGACCGUUGAUUACCCCUAACCAGGAAAUACUCCUAGGUACGACCGUAGGAAUUAAUUUCCUAAUUGCAUUAAAAACUAGAAAAGCCUAACCCAAAUUAAUAACACGCUACGAGGGUUAUUUAAAUCAGAUUGCAUGUCCCCCUAGUAUGUGAAAAUACUAGUUGUCACUAAUAUUAAUUAACUAAACAAUUACGGAUUUAAUUGAUUAAUUUGACAAGAGAUUAAUAAGUCAAAUUGCACAUCGGGCCCUUGAUAACCAAUUAACAAAAUAAUCCCAUGGAAAUUAAAAUAGAAAACAUGCAAAUAUUAACAAAUUAAGGAACACGUAAAAUUAAUUAGAUCUCACAGAUAUUUGGGACUGCGUCUUCGCGUUGAUCCUUGACUAGAGGAGAAAAUUAGCCACGCCUCAUAAGAAAAUUCCCACGCAAUUCAAUUGAAUUCAUAGACAUAAAUAACUAACUAAGAAUUUAGGAAGAAACUUGAGUCUCGGUAGACUCUUUUAAGAAAAGUUGCACACCACACAACAAGAGAAGGAAGAACUCCUCCUCUGAAAAUCCAAAACUACCUCUAUCCUCCUACGGAGCUUCUCUGGAGAGAAAACUAAAAACUAGUCUAAUGGCUUAUGAAGCUUUUUUUUUUUCUUAGUUCUCCUCUGCACUAGUUUCAUAAGAGAACUAGUUACGUAGGAAGCAAAUAGAAAAGCUACUUUUAUCAUCAAAGUCCACCUAUGGCUAAUGAGUACAUCUCCCAAAAGAAGAACACAUUUUCUAAAUCAAUGUUACGUGGUCCCCGCAGAAUUGUCUCAUUUUGAUUUCUUAUUGUUAGUGGACUUGCCAGGACUUAAUAAUAGGAAGGCAACUCUUCAUCAGCAAUUCCGUUGGUUUGCACAAUUUGGGGUGAUUGUGGAAAGCUUCUCACGUGUGGAGAAAUCUUCUCAAGAAGGUCCCCUUUUAGCACUUUUCUGCUCCACUUUCUGAAAUUAUAUCCAAAUACCAAAUAUAAAUAUAUAUUGACAAUUAAAGCAAUAUUUGGCAAGGAUAAAGAGGAGAAUUAACAAUAAAAUUACUAACAAUUAACACCCUAUCACUCACCACUGUAUACAAAAUUUGUAUUUUUCUUGAGUAGGUAAUUAUUAUUGUGCAGACUCGACAACCUGUCAAUAUUUGGCGCCGUUAUUGGGGACUGGUGCCUGAUUAAUUUGUUUCUUUUUAAGUUCAUCUUGUUUUCAUUUUUUAUUUUUCUCUUAUUAUUAUUAUUAUUAUUAUUUUAUAUAUAGUUUAUGGCUGCUAACACUCCGUAUUUUGGUGAUAGAUUGGAUUUUAUAUCUAGAAGGGGUUAUGAGACUCGUGCUUUUUCUAAUGAUCAAUUGGCUGUUACAAAUUGUGAAACUUAUUUUGUUUUAGAUCACUCAACCGACAUAUGCUCUGCAUUUCAAGAUAGCCUAAAUGCUCCAAUUGAUACUUUUGGAGAUUUUUCACCUCAAUAUCAAACGUGGAUAAUGCUUAUUCAAACGGGUAUGAUCAAGAAUGGUGGGAUAAUUCCAAUCUUAAUUAUGAAAAAGGGCCAAUAGGUUUUCAAUAGCAAGAGUCUCAACAACCAUCAUCCAUGUCAGGUAUGUCUUUUGAAGAAAUGAUAAAAUCACUAUCUGCUAACACACAUUAACUUCAACAAGAGACAAUGGAUUAUCAACAGCAAAAGUCUCAAGAAUUAUCAUCCAUGUCAGGUGUAUCUCAUUCAUGUCAGGUAUGUCUCUUGAAGAAAUGAUACAGAAUUUCAACAUGAGACAAAAAGGUCGAUUAAAAGGAUGGAAGAUGGAGGGCGUGAAUUGGCAUCUAUACUGAGCAAAUUGAUUUCUCCAAUGUGUGAAGAAUUGUCCUCACAGACCAACAUCGACUUUAAAGAAGAUGAGAGUGCAAUUAUUCGAACAAAUGACAUGGAACUGCAAGAGUCUCAAGAAGAAGAAUCUAAAGAUUCAGUUGAAAAGGGAAUUGUAGUGCAAGAAAUGAGACCCCAACAUCAAAUCGUUCAAGUGAAUGAAUCUAGUGACCAAUCUCCAAAUGCGGUGACAUCUCCUCCAUUCUUUAAUCAAUAUUCUCCUGACUCUUAUUCUUUAAUUCCUGUUAGUGAGAUUGACUUUAUUAUACCAGAAGAUUUUGAAUAUCAUGACAGCAAUAAGGUCGUAUUUAUGUCAUUAAUUUUAUGAUUAUUUUCCUCUUUUAUUUUACCAAAUAUUGCGUUAAUUAGUGGAUUAUACUUAUAUUUGGUAAUUGUGUUGAUUGUAGGGAUUUGGAGCGAAAAAGUGUUAAGAACGUGAAUUUUAACUAAUUUAUGUGCAAUUCGGCGUGGGUGUGUCAAGAUCCACUUCGCAUGUCCGAAAAUUUGUAAUUUGGCGCGUGAUUUUCAACCUUGAAUUGGAGUUGGUUUGAAGUCAUGGAAGUCAGGUUUUGCACCGCAAGAUUAGUCUCAUAUUCUUAUUAGGACACUAGUAUAGUCAGCUAUCUUGACUUUUUGAGACGAUCUUUUUUAUCUAAUAGGAAGUUUAUUUUAUUUAGAAAUCUACAAAAUAGGAGUGAUUGGCUAGUUUCUUGGGUGAUUAGCACUUCCGAAAAGGCAACAAUUGCCGUGACUAUUCUAGGGCCAAUUGGAACAUGCUUUCAUUUGGGUAGUAGUAGUUUAGUAGUAGUAGGAGUCUAGUCAGUAGCAUUUUCUUUUAGUCGUUUCCUUAUUUCUUGGCUAUGAUGAAGGAGCCGCUUGGCUUUUCUCUUCGGCGAGUCAUCUUCUCCGUUUUUCUUCUUUUGUUGAACGUUGAUGCAAUUUCCUUAAGGGUACGUUUGGUUCCCGUAGAAUUGGAGGCUUAGAAUUAGAAUUGAAGCCCCAAUUCCAAAUCUUCGGUUUGGACACUAUCAAUACCAGAGAAUUAGAAUUCAAUUCGAAUUCUACGGGCCAUCAAUUCCACAAAUUCAAUUCUUUGGUAGGAUCUAAGAAUUACAAUUCCAAUUCCAUAAUUUCACCUCCUAUCCGGGUUAGUACGCGGAUCCUAGAUGGAUUAAAUCAGUGAAACGGGUCUCUAUAUAAUUAACAAAAACAUAACUGAAAAUGAAAGUCCUCUCUCUGUCUCUUGUCACAGACCAACCACCGUUUCUUUUGCAGCUCUUUCUCCUCCACAUCUUCCUUCUCCGCCUCCUCCCAUACUUCCUACUCUGCCUCCACCUAUACUUCCAUUGCUGACGCCUUGUCUCUCCUCUUACUCAUCUUCCUCCUCUGCCUUUUCCCAGCAUUGAACAUCUACUUUCAUUUACGCAUGUUAAGAGUGAAAUUAUAGGGUUUCUUUCUGUAAAUUGGCUCAAAUCCAGUGGCUAUAAGUGAUAUGGGCUGCGCCAUGCGAAUUUCGUAGAUAAACAAGGCUGACCAUAGCCAGUACCAAGUUCACAAGGAUACGGCUCAAUCAGUUUGGUAGCCUCUGCCGCGCCUCCAUUGCUGCUGUAAUCAUUUUUAUUCCUCUCAUCCUUAUUUUCUGGGCUCUCUCCUUCAGCUCUCCCGCUUUCCCCAAAUUUCAGACACAUUUAGGGCUUGUGAAAGGUAACUCGAUCUUUGAAAUUUUUUCAAUUAAUCAUUGGUUAUGGGCUUUAUUACAUAGCUUUUUUUUCAUUGGAUACAUUGCAAUGGUUUGUUUUGUUUUGUGAAGGUAAAUUUGUCUAAAUUUUUGCCAAUCAAACAGCAAUUUUUUUUAUUUUCUGAUAUUUUGCUCUAGUAUUUUUGGCUUCUAGAUUUAUGCUAUUAAUAAGGAUUAAAAAAAAAAAGCACAAGUUGAUCGUUUGUUUCCUUUUUCUUAUUUUGGGUUUGAGUUCAAUUAGUUAAAUCGAGUCCAAGUUUUAGCUUGUUGGAAUAUAUAAUGUUAGUUUAAAAUCAUAUUGGUGAUGAAGAUGAAAGGGGUAAUCUCGUAUGUCUUCCUUAAAAUGGUUUUUUGAGAUCUAUUAGAAGCUUUUGCAUUGUGGAACCACAAAUUGAUACUGCAUUUGGAUUCUACACUGAAAGAUGAGAUAUUUAGCUUUGUUGUGGUUCAUGUCUGCUUCAUAUCCUGUAUUUUGUGCAAGCAGUGUUCUAGUAAAUUAUCAAUAUUCUAGUAAAUUAUUUCUCCAUCAUCUAGAUAAGAUUAAUGUCUCAUAUCCUAUCAUUUUUUAGGGAUGAAAUAGCACAGAUAGCUCAUUUAAUAUAUUCUGUAUUGCAUUUUCUGCAAAUUAAUUUCUGGUAUGUUGGAGAACUCACUUCUCCUUUCUAAUUUCUUAGACUGACUUGUACCAGGAAAAUAAUUCUUUUCACUGUUUAAAAGUAACUCGUUACAUUGUAUGACAUAUGAAAGUAGGCUAUGUGUUUGAUUUCCUCCUCUGUUUUCAAUACGGCAACAUCAGAAACUUACAUGAGCAGAAACCCCCGAGUUUUCAAGAAUUGCGUGAGUUACUCUCAAUGGAGAGUAACUAAAUUUAUUUUCUAGUCAAAGAUCAACUUGAAGUCCCGGUUCCAAACAUCUAUAAGAUCGAAUUAUUUUACUUAUUUCUUUUAUUCAUUGGUAUUCAUACGUUUUCUACCUUAAUUUCUUAUGAUUGUUUUGUUAUUUGAAUAUCAAGGGUCCGAUAUUUGAAUUAACCUAAUAAUCUAUUGCCAAAUUAACCGAUUAAAUCCGUAAUUAUUUAAUCGAUUAAUACCAGUGGCGACUAGCGUGAUUGGUCCCAUGUUAGGGAAACAUAUAAUCUAAUUUAAACAAACCCUCGUAGUGUGUUUGUUGGUGAGGGUUGGGUUUUUCUAAUUCUUAAUACAAUUGAGGAAUUGAAUUCUACGGUCGUACUUAGGGUUGUUUCUUGGUUAGAGAAAUAGUUAAUGGUCAUAUCUUGGCCAUCGAAAAAAUAAAGAAAAGUUGGUUGUUUAUCGCUUGUAUGACAACUAUAACCAAUCUAUUAAUGAGUAUUGAAUUAUCUUUGUAUCAAUGAUCAGUUGAAUGGACCGUAUCUGAAAAGUUGCACCUUUGGCUAGAGUCAUAUCUCUUAUUGAUUAAUUCUUAUUUGUUUUCGUGAGUUGUUUUUAUUUAGUUAAUUAGUUAUUUUUAUAAAAAUCCCCCAUCUCUAGACUCUAAAAGAAAUAAAUUAUCCCCAAUUCCUGUAGAUUAGACCCUACUCACCACUAUAUACAAAAUUUAUAUUUUUCUUGAGUAGAUAAUGAUUAUUACACAGGUUCGACAACCUGUCAAAAAGGCUGAACUGGGUAUCAAAUCCUCAGUUAUAGACACUCGAUUACAAUCCAAUCACGGACAUAAAAGAUCAUUUCAUGUUAAAUUCACUAAUCUCGUCACGUAACUGUUCUUUUAAUUUUACAUGUGAGUUGAGUUAGUGGAAUCCACGUUGCAGUGUGUCAUUUGAGCGACGGAAUUGGGAUGCGUAACUAAGGAUUUGAUGCCGGCUGGACCAAUUAAACAGCCCAACACUUCCUGUUGAAAAGGCCUUUGGUUUUUUAACUUUACAAGCCCAAACACAGACAAGUCGGAACUUGUUCAAAUGUUUUUAAUUGGGAUUAUUAUCACUUUACCCUCUUAACGUUUGGUGUCACUAUCAAUUUCCCCCUUAACGUUAUCUUUUAGUCACUUUACCCCUAAGACUAACGAUCAAACUUAACGGAGUUUGUUAAUUAAAGUGAAAAGACAUGUUUAACCCUUAAAAUUAUUAUCACUUUACCUCUAUAAACUAUAGUCUUAUUAUCAAUUUACCCCAUAGAGUUAUUUUUUAGGCAAUUUAUCCUAUCAUUAAACCAACUUAGCAAGUUAAAAAAUUUUAGAAGAAAAUACCCUCUUCUCUGCAUAAUAAAAAUAAUAAAAAAUUUAGACUGACUCUUCUUCUUUUUAGUAUCAAGAAAAAAAUUCAAAAUAUUAAUUUCUUUCUUCUUGGCAAUCCUAUUAAUAUUGAAAAAAAUAGAAAAAUGGAGAAGGGAAGGGGGAGAGGGAGAGAGAGUGUUCAAUUCUUUUUUAAAAAAAUACAAAUAAGAAAGAAUUAAAUACUUUUAUUAUUUUAAAAUUAUUUCACCUUUCUGUUCACCACCAAAUUUCAAUUCUAAUCCCGACAACCUUAAAGUAAUACGAUAACGUUAGACUUUUCUUUAUUUUAUUUCUUUGCAAAAUCUAAUUUUCUAUCUCCGUCUUUCCUAUCUCUUUUUCUUUUUCUAGUAUUAAUAAGUGUGAAAAAGAAAUUUGAGAAAAUCCUUUUAUUUUUAUGUUUUUUGAUCUCUUAAAGUGAAAAAAAAGAAGAAUAACAAUUCCAACUUUUAUUUUAAUUAUAUAUAAAAAAUGGUAAAUAUAUUUAAAUUUCUUUUACCAUACUAGUUAGAUUAACGAUGAGGUAAAAUGUCUAGAAAAUAAAGUUAGAAACUAAAGUGAUUGUAUCACUAUAAUCUAAAUGAAUAAAAUGAUAACAACAAUGCACUAAUGCUAUAAAAUUAAAGGGUACUUUUGUUCAAAAUUUUUUAACAUGUUGAGUUAAAUUACUUAUGGAGGUAACGUGACGAAAAGAUAAUGUUAGGGGGUAAACUGAUAGUAAUGAUAUAGUUCAAGGGGGUAAAGUGAUAAUAACCCUUUUUAAUUGUCGCUAAUCAGCCAAAAAAAAAAAAAAUGAAAGACUUAUAUUAAGUGCAGGCAAAUGCCGUUCGUCUCUGUGCUCACCUGCUACAAAACUGGAGACCAUUUUUGUUCAACUUCUAAAGCAAUAAUCAAGCAGCCUAAAUCGUUGAUUCGAAAAGUUGCAGGAAUGGAAAGAGUGGAGAAUCUUACUGAGCUUCUUGCAGCUCAAAAUCAUGUAGGCAACCAAAUGCUCAACUUCAGAAAGUCCGCGUCUCUAAAAUGUGUAAUUGAACUGGGAAUCCCAGAUGCCAUCAAUCAACAUGGGAAGCCUAUCACACUUUCUCAGUUGGUUUCUGCCCUUCCAAUUAACCCUUCCAAAGCUAGCCACAUCUAUCGCUUGAUGCGAUUCUUAUCAAAGGCCGGCUUCUUUGUUCUACAAGAUCAAGGCUAUGCGCUCACAGCUGCAGGCCGUCUUCUUUUAAAAGACGAGCCUUUCAAUUUAAGGGCACUUAUCUUUUUUAUGAGCGACCCUGUUUUAGUGAAGCCCUGGAAUUCUUUGACUAAGUGGUUCAGGAAUGAUGAUCCCUCUCCAUUUGAUACGGCGCAUGGGAAAAACUUCUGGGCUUAUGCUGCUGAAGAGCCUAAUUUUGCAAACCUCUUCAAUGAAGCCAUGGCCAAUGGUUCGACUUUAAUCGGUCAGGUGAUGAUGACCCACUGCAAGUUUGUGUUUGACGGCUUGACAUCUUUAGUGGAUGUUGGGGGUGGCACAGGGGCAGUUGCUAGGGCCAUUGCCCAAAAUUUCCCCAACAUGGAGUGUGUUGUGUGUGAUCUCCCACACGUGAUUGCCGGCCAAGAGGGAACUGAGAACUUGGACUUUGUUGCAGGAGAUAUGCUAGAGAAGGUACCUGCUGCUGAUGCAAUCUUGCUCAAGGUAAUUAAGGACAUUUUCCAUGAAAUCCGUUUUUUCCCUAGCCACUCGAAUAAUUAAGAAACAAUUGAGACAAUAUUGAUAUAGAACUCUACAACGAUUUCAAUAAAAUGAAAUAUAAACAAUUGAACGUCCAGCUUUAACAGUUGAUUUGCAAGAUCGCUAACAUAGACGCCUGUUGUAUGAAAGAAUAACAAUAAUAAUCAUAUGCAAAAUUUUUGCUCUAGAGGUUAGAAUGUUUGCUAAAGAAACUGGAGUUCUUGGCGCUCAUUAAUCGAUGCGUGAGGCAGUGAUGGAGUGUGAUAAGCUUAAUUUAGGAUGCCAACACAACAAAUUUCUUUAAUCUAAAUUUUGUGAUUUUACUGGAAAACAGGGGAUUCUCCAUGACUGGAGUGAUGAAGAUUGUGUGAAGAUUCUCAAGAACUGCAAAGAGGCUAUUCCAGGGAGAGACAAAGGGGGAAAAGUCAUUAUUAUCGACAUGAUUUUGGAAAGCCAGAUGAAAGACGAGGAGUCAGUUGAAACACAAGUUGGUAUGGACAUGCUGAUGUUGAUGUGUUACGGUGCUAAAGAAAGAACUGAGAAAGAAUGGGCAAAGCUUUUCCAAGAUGCUGGUUUCAGUGACUACAAAGUACUUCCAGUGUUGGGUGUGCGCUGUCUCAUUGAGGUUUAUCAUUAGACUAAAAGUUCAGUUCAAAAUUGGUAUUGCUACAAUAAUUGAGGUUUCAGUUUUACCCUCAGCCUUUGUCUCCCUCUGUUGGAAUUUGCUUUGUUCCGCUUGUAAUCGCCAUUUUGGCAAUAGAACUAUUCUGUUUUCUGUGUAUCUUGUAAUUUGUGUAGUGUGAUCUUACUGUUAAAGUUAAAAAAUGAAAUCCACUGCCACCCAAAAAAAAAAGUUAAAAAAUGAAUGAAUCUUACUAAACCAAAGUCAAAAAUCCUUUGAAUCUUAUUAAAUUUGAAUUUAAAUAUCAAAUUUUGUAUAUGUGACAUGUAUCUAGACCUGCUAGUCCAUACACUGUUAGUGUAUAAAAAAUUUACCUUUGCCAUUAAAAUCCUUUUCUACACUGUCAGUGUGUACACUGACAAGAUUGGAUGGAUGCCACAUCAUCUAAAUUUGAAUUUCAAUAUCAAAUUUUGUAUAUGUGGCAUAUAUCUAGACCUGCUGGUAUAUACACUGUCAGUGUAUAAAAGAUUUACCAUUUUAUACGGUAUAUAAAAUUCCUUUGAUUGGAUUCUUUUUUUAUGAUUAUUAUUAUUUUGGUAGACAUUUUUUUUAUAUCAGUAUGCAAUUCCAACUACUCAAGCAACUUGCAGGUUGAGUAUGGCUAUGAAAAUGGCGAAAUAGCUUUCAAGGAUGGAGCUCUAAUUGCUGCUGAUGCCAUUCUCCAUGCUACCGGGUAUCAACCUACACAUGGUUUUUCUUUUUUCCUUUUAAUCUGGUGACCACCAGUAAUUAAGGCCCACAUUUCAUAUGCCGAAUCCUAAUAAUUGGUGGAGACCCUUCUAAGUUUUAAGUGGCAAUAGCCUAGAGCUGGACAGUGACAUACAAUAAUAUCGAGGUUUACAAUCUGGUAUGGACAGGAAAUUCACAAUUGUACGUUUCAAGAAUAAUAAACCACCAGCCUCUUCAAAAAAUCCAGACCGGUACGUAGUACACUCCUUUGGUCCGAUGGUGAUUCUGUCCCAAUCGGUCCGCCGUAGGUCUAGUUGGACUUCUCCCUUAGUUAGAUUAGGAUAGAGUAUGAUAUAGAUAAAAAGUGACGAUUGACAAAAAAAAAGAAUAAUAAAAUGAUUUCGUUAACGGGUGCUUGAUGGUUACCUAGUUAAAAGAGUUUUAAGUGUUAUAAUUUUUUUAAAAAAGUAUUAUCAACUCGGGAAAGUGUCAAAAUGUAGUGGAUGCAAUAAUUGUAACUAUGCGUGUUAUUAUAGUAAGAUAGAUAUGAUUUAGGUAUGUUAACACUAUCGAAUGAGUAUUUGUUAAAAAAAUUCAUAAUAAAAUUGACUACAAUUAAGAUGAUAUGGUUGAUAUUGUUCUGUGGAAAGAGGACAGGAGUGUUCACAAAGGGGAUUAAUAUGAUAUGAUUGCUAAUUUUUUAAGGGAAAAGGAUAUAACUAUUUGUAAAAGGGAUUAAUGCUUACUAACUGUUUUACAUCCUCCCAAGGCUGUGUUUAUAAGGACAGGUAGCAUUUGUAAUGCAUUUUUGUGGGAUCAGAAUGUUGAUAAUAAGCGGGUUCAUUGGACAUCUUGGGAUAAUCUUUGUUUUCCUUUGGAAGAGGGAAGCUUGGGAUUCCGUUCUUUUGAAGAUACUUGUUAGGCUUUUUUUGCAAACUUUGGUGGCGGCUCCAUUUGAAUAACUCGGUUUGGUCUGCCUUCAUGCAUCCAAAAUAUAUCAAGGGGGUGCAUUCGUCUCUAGUCAGACUUCAUCGUCCUUCUGUGGCUUGGAGAAGACUCGAUCAGAUCCAUUUAUUUGUUGAGGAGAAUAUCAAAUAGUGCUUAUGUGACAGCCCCACCUCUCCCUAAGGCGAACCAAAGGGUUCGGCGGAUCGUCUGCCCAACUCUCGCCAGGACUACAGAGGCAAACCGCAUAAAACCCUACGUAACGCGUGAUAGAACCAAAAGAAAACAAACAAUUGGAGACCACAAAGCCAAAAAAAACAUGAUUACCAAACCAUACGGUGAAAUGGAACUUCGAUAAACACUUCAAUGAAAAUGAAACGAAAACGAAAAAAUGGAACGAAACAAAGCCACGUCACAAUCCGGCCAAGAUCUGGCCGGAUUCGAGGCAGUGGAGAAACCCUAAAUUUUUUCAACUUCCCCUGCAAAUCCGGCCAGGUAUCCGGCCAAGAUUCAGCCGGAUAUUCGGCCGGAUUCUGCCACAGGGUUUCCCGCCAGAAAUUUUUCUUUCCUUUUCAAAUGCCGCGCUCGCCCGAUCGUCCAACGGUUACAUGAAACGUUCAUCAAAGCCGUAGAAGCUUAACAUCUCAAAUGAAUACACUUAAUAGACAAGAUUAAAUACUUUUACAUAUAUUUACAUCAGAGUCUUGAACAAAUUAACUAAAGUACAAGCCAAAGUAUUCAUACUGUUCAAAAUAUAAUUAGGGCUUCGGUUGCAAAAGAGCUUAACAAAAUAACAUAUACACUAGCUCGACCCUUUCUUCCAAAACCAUGAUUUCAAAGUUUGUCCCCUGUAAGCAAAACAAAGAUAACGGGAAGGGGGUGAACUUACGCUUAAUGAGGUACCAAAAAUAAUAGUAGUCAAGAAUCAUGGAACUUCAUGUUCAAUUAGUCACAUAUGCAUAUCAAAUUAGGAAAUGAACAAACACCUUAGAUAGAAAGGAUACAGGUGGCUCUCAGGAGCCCAAAAUUUCCAUUGCAGUACUUGAUCCAAACCUGUUGACUCUCCGUCAACGUAUAAAGAACAACCAUAUCCGUAGACCCCACUUUACACCAAAUUCCGUCCACCAAACAUACCCCUUACCGGGCCCGAACACCUCAACAGAAACAGAAGUGGUAAUACUCGAGUAUACAGGAAAUCUAGAGUCUCUAAUACCCAAAGAUUUCCCCAGAAACAAACUAUCGUGGUUCGUUAUCUAAUCGACCAGGCCCUUGCUGGUUCGACUCGAGUAACUAGCCACAGGUUUUGAGCUCAGAGGUCACAGAAAGAUCGUUGGAUACAAGUCUCCAACCGACGUCAGAUUAAGCAUAGAUAACAGAGUCAAAUGUACACAGUAAAUACGCAUACAGACAAGAGAACGAGUAUGAUAAAGUACACUCUCGCCUCAUACAGAAUAAACAGAAGUCACAGUUAAUCAAGUCACAAACUGCAAAUACAGAUUAACCAGUUAAGCCAACAAAUCAUGAGAGUGGUACACUCACCAGUUCAAGUAAAACAAAUUCAAACGUUUCCUCUCGAAGUACUUCCUGGAUCAUCGGCACGUCCUAUAAAUGAUUUAAGUAAAACAAUUAUAGUUCCUACGGAAACGACACUCACAAAUGGGACUCAACUACGAGUCGUAUGCCUAUCCAAAUGAACUACGAAUGCGAGGGUACAAAAGCGUGAUUUUGGAACGAAAAGGUAACGGGAGGACCUAGGGGCUUGAACGACCCAAAAGCCCUUCAUUUAUACCCCAAAUCAAACCAAACUCGAAGAAAUCCAAUAUCCCCAAAAAUUGGACAGCAUAUCCCUAAAUUUCCUUCCUUUUCCAUCCUACAAGCAAUACCAAUACCAUCUCAAUUCAAUCACAAUUGCACAUACCAAUCAUAGGCUAUAAAACACACCUAAUUAGGGCCACAAUACCCUUCAAUUUGAGCCAAUUGAUAGCUCUAAAACCAAUCACAUUAAAGCCCCAAAUUGAAAACCCUAAAGCUGAAAUUUAUGCACCCUAGCUGAAAUUUCUUUAGGCAACCAAAACUAGUAUACCAAAACUUCAUUUUACACAAUAUAAAGCUAUCAUUCCAUGGCCAACCAUUACUCAUCACAUGAGGGCAGAAAAAAUCACCAUAAAAACUGAAAUUUUCAUAAUACUACUUCAAAUUAUGAAAUAUACUCAUAAAACUAUCAAAACUAUAACUUUAUGAUAGGGUGUUAAUUGUUAGUAAUUUUAUUGUUAAUUUUCCUUUUUAUCCUUGCCAAAUAUUGCUUUAAUUUGCUUUAAUUGUCAAUAUAUAUUUAUAUUUGGUAUUUGGAUAUAAUUUCAGAAAUUGGAGCAGAAACCUCUUGAGAAGAUUAUUGUGAAGCUUUACACAAUUUUGGUGCAAACCAACGAAGAAGAAUGUAAUUGCAUUUGGGAAUUCAAUUUGGCUAGACAACAUGUCAAAGUUGGUGGGGACCGCAAAUAAGUUGUAUUGUCUAAAGUGUGCUUUCUUUGCACAUUUGUGGUUUUGCUUUCUUGUUGGUGAACGUGUGCACUUGGUCAAAAAGAAAACCGACAAUUGCUUUUGUUUUGAGUGGAAUGGAAUUGAUUGUGUAGAGAAAUGAUGACCUCUUUGGAGGACGUGGGGUGAUGUCUCCAUUUUGGCUGGUUUUUUAUGUAUGAAGAUAUGGGACGUGAAAGGGAGCUAUAAAACUAGUUUUGGAGUUUUCUCUCCAAAGAAGCUCCGUAGGAGGAUAGAGGUAGUUUUUGGUUUUCAGAGGAGGAGUUCUUCCUUCUCUUGUUAUGUGGUGUGCAACUUUUCUUAAAAGAGUCUAGCGAGACUCAAGUUUCUUCCUAAAUUCUUAGUUAGUUAUUUAUGUAUUUGAUUCCAUUUAAAUUGCGUGAGAAUUUUAUCAUGAGGCGUGGCUAAUCUUCUCCUCUAGUCAAGGAUCAAUGCGAAGACGCAGUCCUAAAUAUCUGUGAGAUCUAAUUAAUUUUACGUGUUCCUUAAUUUAUUAAUAUUUGCAUGUUUUCUAUUUUAAUUUCUAUGGGAUUAUUUUGUUAAUUGGAUAUCAAGGGCCCGAUGUGCAAUUUGACUUAUUAAUCUCUUGUCAAAUUAAUCAAUUAAAUCCGUAAUUGUUUAGUUGGUUAAUAUUACUGACAACUAGUAUUUUCACAUACUAGGGGGACAUGCAAUCUGAUUUAAAUAACCCUCGUAGCGUGUUAUUAAUUUGGGUUAGGCUUUUCUAGUUUUUAAUGCAAUUAGGAAAUUAAUUCCUACGGUCGUACCUAGGAGUAUUUCCUGGUUAGGGGUAAUCAACGGUCGUACCUUGGUUAUCAAUAAAUUAAGGAAAAGCUGGUCGUUAGAGUUUAUCGGCGACUAUAACUAACCUGUUAAUAAAAUUAAGUGAACAUUCUUUGCAUCAAUGAUCGGAUGAAUGGACUGUGUCUGCGUAGUUGUAUCCUUGGCUAGAAUUUAUUUAUUAUUUAUUUAAUUUCUAUUUACAUUCAUAUUAAUUAAUUAUUUAUUUUUGGUUAAAUUGAUUAUCUAUUUUUAGUUUAUUUCUGAUAAAAAUCCCCCGUGUCCCGAACUUGAAAAGAAUCGAAUUUUUUCCAAUCCCUGUGGAUUCGACCCUACUCACUACUAUACACAGAAAAUUUAUUUUUCUCGAGUAGGUAUUUAUUAUUGCACAAGCUCGACACCUGUCAAUUUUUGGCGCCGUUACGGGGGACUGGCGUUAAUUAUUUGUUUCUUUUUAAGUUUAUUUUUGUUUUAAUUUUCUGGUAUUUUUCUAGUUUAUGCCUCGCUUUUCUCGUACAGGCGAAUUAAUUUUCGACCCUGAAGUAGAGAAGACCGCGCGUAGAACGAGGAAAGAAACCAGGCGGCUCAGAGAAGAGCAAUACGAUAUUGCACCUCAGGAACUUGAUCCAGAGGUUGAGCCGACAAAUUUGUCUGGUGACAAUUCAAGUGAUUCAGACCAAGAGGAAGUCACUAUGGCAAAUGCACGAACACUAAGGGAGUUGGCUGCUCCUGAUUUAAAUCAGCGGCCCUUGUGCAUUACUUUUCCACAUUUAAAUGAUGACACUCCCUUUGAACUAAAAUCUGGUCUAAUUCAUCUCUUGCCAUCUUUUCAUGGUCUACCAGGUGAGGAGCCCUACAAGCACUUGCAAGAGUUCGACGUCGUUUGCAACAGUAUGAAACCCCCGGGAAUUACAGAAGAGCAAAUAAAGAUGAGGGCCUUCCCCUUCUCUUUGAAAGACUCCGCAAAAGACUGGCUCUACUACCUACCACCUAGUAGUAUCACCACGUGGGACCAACUGAAGAAAAAAUUCUUGGACAAGUACUUUUCGGCGUCUCGAUCUGCGAGCCUAAGGAAAGAGAUAUGUGGUAUCAAACAACACCCUAGCGAGUCUCUCUAUGAGUACUGGGAGAGAUUUAAGAAACUGUGCACCAAAUGCCCUCAGCAUCAGAUAAGUGAGCAACUGCUCAUUCAAUAUUUCUAUGAGGGGUUGCUUUUCAGGGACAGAAGCAUAAUCGAUGCUGCAAGUGGAGGGGCGUUGGUGAACAAAACCCCUCGAGGAGCUUGGGAGUUGAUUGAAGGGAUGGCUGAGAACUCACAGCAGUUUGGUUCAAGAGAGGACAUCCCGACGCGUAGGGUGAAUGAGGUAGAAACGUCCUCUAUCCAACAGCAGAUCUCCGAAUUAACAUCUUUCGUAAGACAAUUAGCUGUGGGGAGUGCCUCGCAAGCCAAAGUGUGUGGGGUGUGCACUGCCGUGGGUCAUCCUACGGAAAUGUGUCCACUGGUUCAAGAAGAAACUGCAGAACAGGUGAACAUGACAGGCCACGCGCCCGCGCCAAGAAAGCAGUACGACCCGUACUCAAGCACCUACAAUCCUGGUUGGAGGGAUCACCCCAACCUCAGCUAUGGAGGAAAUAGGCAGUCUAACUUUGUGCCAAAUAGACAGUAAGGACACCAACAGCAGUACCAUCCUCACCCACCGCCACCACCACCCCCUUCAAACUGAAAUCCGUCCAUAGAAGAGAUGAUGAAGCAAUUACUUGCUAAUCAACAAAAGACGGAUUCAGACCUGCAAAGCAUGAGGAAUCAAAUGGGGCAGGUGCAAUCAUUGCAAAAUCAAAUGAAUCAAAUGGCCAUAACGAUCAACCGUUUGGAGUCCCAAAUUCAAGGGAAGUUGCCAUCUCAACCUGAGGUGAAUCCAAAGAAUGUAAGUGCAAUGACCUUGAGGAGUGGCAAGGAAGUCCAAGGACCCAAACCUGUGAUCCCUAAAGAUAAGGAUGAGGAAUGGAUUGAGAAAGAAUUGGAAGAGGAUGGCAGAGAUAACAAAAAUGCAAAGGUGCUCCCGAAACCAAUUCCUACAGCUAAAACUAAUCGACCUCCCUUUCCUAGCAGGUUUGAGAACCCAAAGAAGCAAGACAAGGAGAAAGAAGUUCUGGAGAUCUUCCGCAAGGUACAAAUCAAUAUUCCCCUAUUAGACGCCAUCAAACAAGUGCCGAAGUAUGCAAAAUUUUUGAGGGACCUAUGUGUCAAUCGAAGGCGGUUAAGGGGAGAUGAAAGGGUCAUUGUGGGGAAGAACGUGUCAGCAGUUCUCCAAAGGAAGCUUCCACCGAAGUGCGGGGAUCCAGAUAGGUUUACUGUCCCAUGUAGAAUAGGUAAUACUUUGAUUAGAAAUACCAUGCUGGAUUUAGGAGCAUCGAUCAACGUAAUGCCUAAAUCUAUGUAUGCUUCUCUGAACUUAGGUCCAUUAAAAGAAACUGAGAUAAUAAUCCAAUUAGCUGACCGAACAAAUGCAUACCCUGAUGGGUUGGUCGAGAAUGUGUUGGUCAAGAUUAACGAUUUGGUAUUCCCAGCUGACUUUUAUGUACUUGACAUGGAUGAUGAUCACUCUUCCGAUCCCUCGCCUUUGUUAUUAGGUAGACCGUUUUUUAGCACAACCCAAACAAAAAUUGAUAUUCAUAAGGGUACUUUGUCCAUGGAAUUUGAUGGAGAAAUGGUCCACUUUAAUAUUUUUGAUACAAUAAAACAUCCUGUUAACUCUCACUCUGUGUUUGCAAUUCAUGCUAUUGAUCCCUCUGUGCAAGAAUUUUCUGAGUUUGCUUCUAGGGAUAAAUUCAAAAUUGCUGCGAACAAAUAUCAUGGGAUAAAAGCAAUUCAUGAGGUGAAAAAGAGAAGAAAAUUAAGGAAAAAGAUUGCACUCAAUGGCUAUUUGGAUCCCGGAGAAGGACUACUGAUUACAAGAAAAAUUGGAUUACACCCAAAUUGAAGAGUUGUGUUUAACGUCUGGCCAAAAACGUUAAAGAAAGGCGCUUUUGGGAGGCAACCUAACUUUUGAUUUUGUUGGUUUUUUGUUGUUCAAUUCGUUAAAUAUGUUUUUUCUCACUUAGGUAUUGUUUAAAUUUGAUAUUUUCUCUACUAUGACCAGGACAGGUGAUCAUGGCGUGCCCACGCAAGGAGGGCACACAUUAAUCUUACAAGUUUCAACUUCAAGGUCAGAGGAUGUUUCUAAAACAUGGCGUACCCACGCCAUGUUGGUAAAAUCUCAACAUUCCAAAGUGAAAUCUUGGCGUGCCCACGCGGAGAGGGCACGCGUUAAUGUUCAAAAACUGAUUCUCAAGAUCAGAGGAUGUUUUCUAAUCUUGGCGUGCCCAUGCCAUGUUUGACGAACCAAAAAAAAAAAAAGAGUUUUUUUUUUCUUUUCUUAACAUUCGGUUUAGUUUUUCAGCAAUUCAAUUUCUGAAUUUAAAAAAAAAAUGUAAGACCAAAAACUUUUUUUUAUUUUUCGUUUCUUUUUCUCUUUCCUUCUUUUUCUUUUCUUUCUUUCCUCUUCUUUUCCUUCUUCUUCUUCCCCGCUGCUCGCUUCUUCUUCUUCAUUGUAAGCUCCGCCAGCCCACACCACCUCCAAGCUCCACCUUCCUCGCGCGCUCCGCCACUGCUGCUGUCCAUUCAGCUCACCUAACCAUAACCGCCGCCCUCAAGCUCUUCCUGAAGCCCACCACAACCCAGCGUCCACCUCUGCAUGCAGCCGCCAGUGCCUCAUCUCCACCAGCUCGCGUCGACCUCCUGCAGCCCAAGCAAUGCCAGCCGCCACCACCUCCAUUUGCUCUCUCACUCUCUCUCGCCAAACACCACCAACUGCCGCCGUCACUACUUGCAACGCAACUAGCUCCACUCUCCAGCUCAGCUCUUUCUCUCCAUCUCGAUCUCCCUCUCCACUGCGUCAGCUCUUUCUCUUCGGAUCAGCCACGAGCGCCGCUCCUUCCACAGCCGUGCGUUACCCAGCGUGCAACUUUUCCUUCAGUCUCCACCAAGCCAACAGCGUGCGUCACCAAGCAGCCACGCACAGCUCCCCUGCUAAGCCGCUGCUUUCCUCUCUUUCUCCCUCCACCAACCAGAGCUCUUCCCCUUCCUUGAGCUAGCUCCACCAAUCCGUGUCCACCUCUGCAUGCAGCCGUCACUGUCUCUGCUUCUAUCUCUCUUCUCUCCCUGCCGCGAUAUCCACUCCAGCGCAGCCUAAGAAGCUCACGCCACCACCAGCUCUCUUUCCAUCACCGCCAACCCAGAGCUGUGCGUAGCUCCUCCUCCCUGUCCACCGCUAUCGACUGCCGCCUGAAGCUCACGGCAGUCCAGCUCAGUUUUCUUUCUCUAUCUCGAUCCCCCACGGACAGCCUUCGCUGCCUUGGCUCUCCCCACGAAGUGCGCUGCACUUCACCUGCAACGCCACUAGCUCCACUGUCCGCCAGCUCGAGCUAGCUCGCACGUCUCCACCUGCUAGCUCCAAGCCGCUGCUGCAGUCCACUCAGCUCACCCACCACGCAACGAACAAGCGACGCACGCCGCCUCUCCCUCUCCCUCACACUUCGAUCUCACUGUCCAAACUCAACCAGAUCGCUUGGGAGGUGAUUUUGUUUAAGUUUUGGGCCAUUUUCUUGGGUUCCUUUAUGGAUGAAAAUAGGAAGUGAUUUGCUUGAUUUUCCCUUUCCCGUUGAAUUGCUUAGGAGUCUCUGUUGCGUUUUUGGUCCUUGGGUCUUGGGGCACAUCUGUCAGUUCAUUUAACUUGGGCAUUUUCUGGGGUUAAUUUUGGGUGGAAUUAAUUUUAUUUGCUGCUCCAUUUGCGGAUAUUUUCUGGUGUUCAUUACAUUGCUGAAUAGUGUUUGGGUUUUAACUACUUGAGGCGUUUAUUUCAUCUGUGGGGGUUAAAUUUGACGUCUCUUGUGCCAGUUCAUUUGUUUGAAAAUUGUUAGGGGUGAUUUGAGAGUUACUUGUUACUUGGGUCCCAUUCUAAUUUUUGUUAUUUUGUGGUUUUGAUUGGUGUGUAUGGAUUUAUUAGCGCUUUGAGUUGGUGAUUUGAGUUGUUUCUUAAAUGUAGGUAGCCCCUUCUUGCAGUUGUUUGUUGAUUUGAAUGGUUAUUGGGAUUGGUUGAGUGUGUAAUUAACUGUCCAAUUGGAAACAGUUAUUGAGAUUUUGAGUGGUAUUGUGUCUAAUUGCUGAAAUUUGAUGAUUUAUUUAGACAUUAACAAUGCUCAUAGUUUGUUCGAGUCAAAUUGGGUGGAUGUUCUUUGCACUUUUUAGUUUAAUUGUUGCAUUGUUUGGGAUUGUUUUCAGGCAUUAAUUGAAUUGGUGGGCAUUAAUUGGGUCUCAAAUUGACUAAUAGAGAGGCCACAGUGGUUAUUACAAUUGUUAGUGCUUUGAAUUUGUUGGUUCUAAAUUUUGUUGAAAAUUGUUGUCUGUUGUUAAUUGGAGUGAUUUAAAAAAAAAAAUGGUAAAACCCAGAUCCUCUUCUAAGCCUAGGACACCUAAGACCUCUCGGCCUCCCCCACCUCAACCCACCAUUCCCGCCUCUGACCCCUCGCACGAUCCCUCUUCCUCUGGGAGAAGGGCUCGCCUUGGAAGACAGAGAGGCGUCCAUAUUUCUGACCCUUCACAUUUUGGUGGUAAUUUGAAUUUCACCAGAGCCGCCGACAAACAGCGAUAUGCUAUUUGUUGUGAACGGCGGAUUAUUCCUUGCCGCUAUCAGGACGCCGCCACCUUAUGUCUUUUGAAUAUACCAGUUGACUUUGACCGCUUGAUUAAUGCCAUCAGGUGGCGUCCCUACACAUAUAUUGUUGACCAUCCGACAUUUGUUGAGUUAGUCAGGGAGUUCUAUGCCACAUUUGAGUUCAAUAUUUCCACUGGUUACACAGUCUCUACCCCCAAUGUUAUUCGUUUUCGAUUAAUGGGUCAAGAGUUCCACCACUCCAUUACUGAUUUCAAUAUAGCCUUUGGUUUUAUUGAUAGGGCCUACGCCGACUCUCGUGAGUAUGCCGAGAGUGCUUGUGACUACGUAGAACCCUUCUUCUCCCGCUAUAGCUCUAUUUGGAAAGAAAUGUCCGUAGACUGUGAUUCUUACGACCCCCGAAAGUCCAAGAGCUCUUAUCUCAAGGACCCGGCUUCUCGCUACAUCCAACGUUCUUGGCUUAUAGUUUCUCAGGCAGGCGAGAUAGCUCAGGCAUUUUGUCUAAGUCGGAGUUUUUCUUUAUUUGGUGCAUGCAUAAUAACAUUAAAGUUAAUUUGGGGUGCUGGCUAGCUUCUCAAUUCAAGUCUGUUUUGACUAAAAAGAAGCGCCCCUUGAUUCUUGGAUCAUACAUUACCCAUUUGGCUGUUAAUUUACAUGUGCUUGAUCUCUCUAACCAUGAUUUACAUGUAGCAUGUCAAAUGGAGCCCUUAGACAUCCCUUGUCUAGAGAAAAUGGGCUUGGCUAGGGAGGGUGACAAUGGGUGGGAGGUUCCACCACCGGGACCAUCUCGUAUUCCCCCUCGUUCAUCUUUUGCCCGUUCCUCCACUACUAGUAGUGACCCUGGCCUUUCGACCUCCGCUCCGCCUCCUCCAAUCCCAGGGGCUGAUGACUGGCAUCAACUCCAGAUGCGAGUUCAGAAAUUGGAAGCUCAAGUAUCAAAUAUUGAUGUUAAUGUGCAUAGCAUGGCACAGAAUUUGGCGGCGUUUAUGCACCACGUGGGUGUUGAACCUAAACUUCCGCCUAACCCGCCGCUGUUUUGACAACUUCAGGGGAGUUUCGUUCCGCUUCUUCUUAUUUUUACUAAUUAAUUAUCACAUUGAGGGCAAUGUGUGCUUUAAGUGUGGGGGGAUUUGGAUUUGAUUGGAGUUUCUUUAAAUUGUUGCUUUUCUUAUUGUUGUCUUGAUGAAUAAAUGUGGCAACUCACUCUUCUAUUGCUGGUUGUUAUUUAUCCUAUGAAUUUUGUUUAGAUGGCAAGUAAAAGCAUAUUAUCUUGGUGAAUAUUAUGAGUUUAAUGAAUUGGUGCAAAUUGUGGUUAAAUUGUUUAGGCAAUAUAAAUAUUUUACUAGCAAUUGUUGUGUGAAUUGGGCAAUUGUUGAUCUUAGUUCUCCAUAUUAGGAGAUGACGUAGGUCAUGAUCUUUAAUUAUCUGGUAUUCUGAUACUUUAAUUGUGGUUAAUAAAUGGCUCUACUCCGCUAGUGUCAUCACCCAGUAACCGGGAGUCUUCACCACAAGUGUCGACUCUCGCGUCAAAAAGUGACGAUAUCUAUGAGUAGUUAGUCAUGAAGCUGUGAAAAGUUGAGUAACUGGGCUCUUUCAUCUAAAAAUGUCAGAGUUCACGUCAAAAGACUUGAAUAGCUUGGGACUGAGCAUUUAUUGAAAAAAAAUUAAUUAUUAUCAUUUAAAAAAAAAAGAGAGAAGAAAAUAAUAAGUAAGCUUAUGAUCAUGUUGGCCUGCCGAUCCUUGUUCUUCAAUGUUGAGAUUUUGAUUUUCAGUUGACCCAAUUGCUAACUUUUGCUAGUUUAAUAUUUUGAUUUCUUAGACAAGUUAGCCAUGAAUUGGACGAGUCUAUGAUUUCAGGAGCUAACCGGGAGAAAUAUGUUUUGACACUUAGCUACUAAAACUUGAUUUUGGGAUAAACGCAGCUUGGCAAUAAAUGAAAUGAGAGUUAGCCAUUGUUGAAUUUAGUUGUUCCCAUGCUUGAGGACAAGCAUGAUUUAAGUGUGGGGGGAAUUGAUAGGGUGUUAAUUGUUAGUAAUUUUAUUGUUAAUUUUCCUUUUUAUCCUUGCCAAAUAUUGCUUUAAUUUGCUUUAAUUGUCAAUAUAUAUUUAUAUUUGGUAUUUGGAUAUAAUUUCAGAAAUUGGAGCAGAAACCUCUUGAGAAGAUUAUUGUGAAGCUUUACACAAUUUUGGUGCAAACCAACGAAGAAGAAUGGAAUUGCAUUUGGGAAUUCAAUUUGGCUAGACAACAUGUCAAAGUUGGUGGGGACCGCAAAUAAGUUGUAUUGUCUAAAGUGUGCUUUCUUUGCACAUUUGUGGUUUUACUUUCUUGUUGGUGAACGUGUGCACUUGGUCAAAAAGAAAACCGACAAUUGCUUUUGUUUUGAGUGGAAUGGAAUUGAUUGUGUAGAGAAAUGAUGACCUCUUUGGAGGACGUGGGGUGAUGUCUCCAUUUUGGCUGGUUUUUUAUGUAUGAAGAUAUGGGACGUGAAAGGGAGCUAUAAAACUAGUUUUUGAGUUUUCUCUCCAAAGAAGCUCCGUAGGAGGAUAGAGGUAAUUUUUGGUUUUCAGAGGAGGAGUUCUUCCUUCUCUUGUUGUGUGGUGUGCAACUUUUCUUAAAAGAGUCUAGCGAGACUCAAGUUUCUUCCUAAAUUCUUAGUUAGUUAUUUAUGUAUUUGAUUCCAUUUAAAUUGCGUGAGAAUUUUAUCAUGAGGCGUGGCUAAUCUUCUCCUCUAGUCAAGGAUCAAUGUGAAGACGCAGUCCUAAAUAUCUGUGAGAUCUAAUUAAUUUUACGUGUUCCUUAAUUUAUUAAUAUUUGCAUGUUUUCUAUUUUAAUUUCCAUGGGAUUAUUUUGUUAAUUGGAUAUCAAGGGCCCGAUGUGCAAUGUGACUUAUUAAUCUCUUGUCAAAUUAAUCAAUUAAAUCCGUAAUUGUUUAGUUGGUUAAUAUUAGUGACAACUAGUAUUUUCACAUACUAGGGGGACAUGCAAUCUGACUUUUUCAGUUGGCGGAUUUAAUUGCACAUCGGGCCCUUGAUAUCCAAUUAACAAAAUAAUCCCAUGGAAAUUAAAAUAGAAAACAUGCAAAUAUUAAUAAAUUAAGGAACACGUAAAAUUAAUUAGAUCUCACAGAUAUUUAGGACUGCGUCUUUGCAUUGAUCCUUGACUAGAGGAGAAGAUUAGCCACACCUCAUGAUAAAAUUCUCACGCAAUUUAAAUGGAAUCAAAUACAUAAAUAACUAACUAAGAAUUUAGGAAGAAACUUGAGUCUCGCUAGACUCUUUUAAGAAAAGUUGCACACCACACAACAAGAGAAGGAAGAACUCCUCCUCUGAAAACCAAAAACUACCUCUAUCCUCCUACGGAGCUUCUUUGGAGAGAAAACUCCAAAACUAGUUUUAUAGCUCCCUUUCACGUCCCAUAUCUUCAUACAUAAAAAACCAGCCAAAAUGGAGACAUCACCCCACGUCCUCCAAAGAGGUCAUCAUUUCUCUACACAAUCAAUUCCAUUCCACUCAAAACAAAAGCAAUUGUCGGUUUUCUUUUUGACCAAGUGCACACGUUCACCAACAAGAAAGCAAAACCACAAAUGUGCAAAGAAAGCACACUUUAGACAAUACAACUUAUUUGCGGUCCCCACCAACUUUGACAUGUUGUCUAGCCAAAUUGAAUUCCCAAAUGCAAUUCCAUUCUUCUUCGUUGGUUUGCACCAAAAUUGUGUAAAGCUUCACAAUAAUCUUCUCAAGAGGUUUCUGCUCCAAUUUCUGAAAUUAUAUCCAAAUACCAAAUAUAAAUAUAUAUUGACAAUUAAAGCAAAUUAAAGCAAUAUUUGGCAAGGAUAAAAAGGAAAAUUAACAAUAAAAUUACUAACAAUUAACACCCUAUCACUUUAAAUCACUAAUUUGCAACUAUUAAAAGCAAAGAGAAAUUUUCUUAGCAGGUUACCUUGGAACCUCAAGAAAAUGGUAGCUUAGUAUCUUUCCUCCCAAAUUGACUCCACUAAAACCUUUGAACUUCCUUAGUUAGCACUUUGUAUGGAGAAAUCUACAAUUUUGAUGGUUGGGAAUCAAGAUUGAAGCAAGGGAUUGAAGUGUAAGAUGAAGUAUUUCCUCUCUUUUCUCCUCUCCAAGAGUCUGCCAAGCAAGGUGGAAAAUGAAGAAAAAUUUGGUCAAAAUUGAUGUUUAGUAAAGGUAAGAAAAGUUGGUCAAAGUCCAACUCCAAUCGGGUCGCGACACUUGGCACUUUUCAGGGUUUAAACUUAUCUUUUUUCUCCCAAUGGUUAAUCUACCUAGCUAACCUCUAAUCAUCUCCUAACACCUUAUAAAAUAAUAUUCCUUUACAAAAUUUCAACUAAUUGUCAAAAUAUUUCGCAUUUACCACACUAGCGGGUCCCACGUCCAUAAUACGCUCCAAACUUAAUAUGAACUAAUUUAAACUAGAAAAAAUGAUUUAAAAACUCUACUCACUUUUAAAAUCUCUGAAAAAUCAAAAUAAUAGGGUAUAGUGAAUAAAAAUGCAUGCGAGGAAAUAAAAUAAAAUAAUAUAAAAUAAGAAAAAUUUACGGGUCCUCACAGCUUAGGUAAGGGGAUUGUGGAUUUUUGGUAUGAUCGUUGGCUACUUUUGGCUCCAAUAACUGAAGUAGUAGCAGUGCAUAAUCCCCCUUAUAUGCUGGUUGUGGAGUUUUUAUACGUCAGGUGGAUGGAUCAUAUCGAAAUUGCAGCAAUGGCUUUCAGCCCAUUUGGUUCAACAUGUUUCUUAGCUUUCUCUUUAUCCUGACCUAGAUGACGUGAUAGGACGGUUGCCAUCGGCUGCUGGGUGUUUCUUGAUCAAGUCAGCGUGGGAAGGCUUGCGCUCCAGCAGGAAUACAAUGUUGGUUAACAGGUUACUUUGGUGUAACAUUCUGCCUUUAAAGGUCUCCUUUUUUACUUGGUCUGCUUUGAGGAACUUAUUGACUCUAGAUCCGAAUUUGAGAAAGCGCAGCAUCUUCUUAGCAUCUAGAUGUCAUUGCUGCCUGUAGGAGAAGGAGUCGGUGAGUAAUUUGCUGCUUCAUGGGCCAAGUGCUACAAUUGUCUGGGACCAUUUUACAAAAUGACUUGGUAUUCUUGAUUUCAUGAAGUCCUUACUUUCGGCAAUGUGGGUUUCUUGAUUUUAUUCAUCUUCAGAAACUUUGAAGGAUCACAUUUGUAGUGCCAUGCCCUCUAUUAUUAUUUGGUUUAUAUGAAAAACGAGCAAUCGAGCGAGAUUUGAGGGAGCUAGGUUUAAUGUUCAGGAGGUGAUUGCCAGGGUUAAUCAUUUUAUUGAACAACUAGAGAGCUGUAGGAUUUUCUUUGCAAGUCAUUUUCGUGGGGACAUGGAUGAUCUUUGGGCUGGCUUUGCCUCCUCUCGACGUCGUCAUCACUCAGUUAUGGUGAUGAAAUGGUUUCAUUCCCCUCAAUUUCACGUCAAACUGAACAUGGACGCAACUGUAGCAGUUGGAAAAGAAACAGGGGGUGGUAUUCUACGGGAUUAUUACGGCGAGCUCAUCUUUGCUUUCUAUAAAGAAUUUGGAGACGUUGAUGUGUUGAUAGAUGAAAGUCUCUCGCUGAUGCAUGGCCCGUUGCUUUGCCAGGAAAGGGAUUGUAAUCAUCUAUUGGUGGAGGUGGACUCUCAAGCCCAGGUUCGCAUGGUUUGUUCAGGAGCGCUAGCCAAAUGGCCAUUAUGUAAUGUUUUGAGAAGGAUUAGGGGGCUCUUGCAAGAGUUGGUUGCCUCAGUUGUUUAUGUUUAUCGAGAGGCAAAUGCUACUGCGAAUAAGCUAGCGGGCUUGCAACUCAAUGAAGAUGUUUUUUACAAUUCCCCUCACCAGCUACCGUUUGGAGUCAGGGCAACUUUAGUUUUAAAUAGGUACGAAUUCCCUUGUAUUUGUCGCCAGAUUGUAAGGGAAUAGAUUCUUUAGUUUCUUUUACGCAUGUUGUCUUGUUGACACUCUUAUUUUGUUUUUUUUGCUCCAAUAAAAUAGGAGUUGACACCCCUUCCCGAGUUUGGGGAUUUUUGCCAAAAAAAAAAAAAAUUUCAAAUAUGAUUUCCAUUUCUGAAACACAAAGGGGAUUGUUACUAUUGAUGACAACCAAGUUCAUCCAUUUUACAAGCACGUCUUUCCUUCACAACUUGCUCCAACUCUUUCUUGUAUGGGCAAAUUUCACUUUACCCCCUGUGAUUUAGUAUUUUUCUACAUAACCCCCCUAUGGUUUCAAAAACUAUACAUAACUCCCUCACUCUCUUUUCUCUUUUGCUCUGCCUCCCGCCUCCGCUAGUGACCACUGACCAGUCCGCUCUUCCAUCUCCAUUCUCCAGCUCCAUCUCUCCAUCUCCAUUCUCCUGUGGUGGCUGAGAUUUUCUCUCUUAUGUCGUCAUGAGUGCUGAUGAUUUUGUCGGCAUUUGGUUGAACUUCUUGUGCAGGUUCUUGAAUAAGGGUUUAUCGGAUUUCAAUUUGGCACUGGACUUGGGAUUCCUUAGAAAAGCCAGAAAAUACACAUUUUUCAAGCCUAAAUUCAUUUUCUAUGCCACUUACUUGUCCAAGAAAAUUGGGUACUGGAGAUACAUAACCAAUUACAGGCAUCUUAAGGCCAACCCCGAGUAUCAAUGUUACCCCAUCUUCAAAUACUUCGAGAACUGGUGCCAGGAUGAGAACCGCCAUGGAGAUUUCUUCUCUGCAUUGAUGAAGGCGCAGCCUCAGUUCCUUAAUGAUUGGAAAGCAAAGUUGUGGGCACGCUUCUUUUGCCUUUUGGUAAUAACAAUACUCCACCUACUUUGUUAUACGUUGAUUGUUCUCCACAAAACAACAACUGGGUUCUUGCUCGUCCGGAUUGUCUCCUCUCACAUCGUUUGAAUUACCAUUUGUAAUUUUCGUGUAGCAAAGUUCCUUUCUGAUGAUGUAUCAAAAUCAGGCUUUUUGACUGGUCUUAUCCUGGAAGACCCGACCCGGACCCGGGUCCCGUCAGGUGCGGUUCCGGGAUAAAGAUUAAGAGACCCGUCGGAUAUUCGGUCCGAGUCCGGAAUUAAUACAGUAUAACGGGUCCGGGUCCGGAUAUAUUAAAUCCGGCCUGUUGAUAGGCCUAGUCCUAGGAGCUGUUGAGCAUGUAACUUACAUGUCCGCCUGACAGAAUUGCCUUGCAGAAAAUUCUUGGACCGCUAUUUUCACCUCCCAAAAGAAAAUAUUGAUUUAUUAAAAAUGAAAAGAAAAUCACACAAAAGACUACAAUCGAAAAAGAAGGAAAGAUAAACAUGUUGACUUCAUACACAUGUCUAACAAAAAUAGUCCAAAAAAACUAUCCACUACUCCUAGCUAAUAAUAAACCUCGAUAAGGGAUCUCAAGCCCGGUACUGGAGUUAUCUUAUAAUCAUUGAAUCCUGCCUCAGAAAAGAGUUUUGCCCACUCUCUCUCAUUUCUUUCUUUCCCUGUGACAAGGACCAUCAUCAGCAUAUCAAGGAAAAGUUGAGUUUCAAUUGCCUCAUGAUCAUCAGCUCCUUUUUGCUGGUCACUCAGUACCAUGUCUAUGAUUAUCACCUUCCCUCCAUUUUCCUUGCUAGGAAUUGCUUCUUUGCAUUUCCUAAGUAUUUGUAUACAUUCCUCAUCAUUCCAAUCGUGCAAUAUCCACUGUUUAAAUUAACAUUCAUAUCACAAAGAAUUCAAAUCAGUCAGGAACACUAUGUUAAAGUUAUUAAAGAAAAUUGAAAUUGAUAAGAGGUACAGAAGCCUCCCCCCACCCACAAAAAAGAUUUGCUAAUGCCCUAUUUGUGAAUAAACUUCCAUGACUGAUCCAAUGCUUUACUGAAAUAUAGACAUGGUUGUAAUGAAUCAGAAGCGUGUAUAGAUGUGUUCAGAAUCAGUGCUAAGAAUGACUUUAACAACAAAAAGGUGAAUAUGGAUCUGUUGCAUCAUCUUGGAAAUGUGAGCUUACCUUCAUUAUAACAGCAUUUGCAGGAGAAAUAGUGAUCGACGAUUUCCUGCGAGCGCACAGGGUCGAUUGCAGUACUAAUUAACGUGGAGUAUUCUAGGGUCGAACCCACAGGAACAAAUCAAAUUUCUCCACUUUAAUUAUUUUCACAAAAGAGUGAACGAGAAGAUAUUUUAUAUUAUCAUGAAAGAACUAACAAUUAAUUUGAUUAAAUUGAUAAGAAGCGAGGGAACAAUAGUUAAGCAAGCCUAGGGUUUAGGUUUUAAUCCAUAGAUUGAAUUGAUUCUCCAAUUACUUUUCUUGUCAAGUUAUGAACGUCUCACACAAUUGUAUUUUAGAUUAUUUUUCGAUACAUCUAAAAUGUGUUUAAUGAAAUUCUACGCCUCUCUUGAGACCGUAAACAUUCAAUUAAGCCCCUUUGGAACCUUGGUAACAUAAGUGCGUCAUGCAAAUCCUAACAUACUUUCGUGAUUAAGCUAAGCGUGUUUAUCUAUUUAAUACACGGUUGUAUAUUCCUUCUCAAUUCAAUACAAACCCUAAGAGCAUGUCUAUGGUGGCCAAUCACAAAUACGUAAUUAAACCAAGAUAGAUAAAUCAUAGCAAAACGCAAGAAUUUUAAUUGAAAAAAUUAAUUAAUUCUCCUUCAAAAGUUUCAAAUCAUGCAAAGCAAUUCCAAACAAGAGAACAAAAACCGAAAAGUUAAUAAGAAAAUCAGAAAUUCAGUGACAAGAUGGCUUUAGUUACCUUCAGCAAGAUUGCAUUGGCACGGGGUACACUUUGAAACAUAUCUCCAGCUAAAAAUUCCAAGUUCACAGCUCUUUCUUGAUUCGCAACGACGUGUGGGAGAUCAUACACUGUACAUUUUAUGUUAGGAAAGUUUUGGGCAAUGGCCCUAGCAACUUUACCUGUGCCACCGCCAACAUCAGCCAAAGUUGUCAAGCCUUCAAACACAGACUUGCAUUUGGUCAUCAGCACUUCAACAGACAACUGAUUAUCACUAGCCAUGGCCUCAUUAAACAUUUUUCCAAAUCGAACUUCUUGAGCGUUGUAAUGCCAGAAAUUAUUCCCAUACGCAGUAUCAAAUGGAGAGGGAUCAUCAUUCUGGAACCACUCGGUCAAGAAAUUCCAGGGCUUCAACAGGGCAGGAUCACAUGAUAGAAAAAUGUGUGCCCGUACAUUGAAUGGCUCAUCUUUCAAAAGAAGCCGACCUGCAGAGGUGAGUGCAUAGCCUUGAGGGUUUUCAACGAAGAAUCCAGAGUUAGCCAAGAAUCGCAUUAAGCGAAAAAUGUGGGCAGAUUUAGAAGGAUGGAUUGGGAGGACAGAAAUCAGGUCAGAAAGUGUGAUGGGCUUCCCAUGAUUACUGAUCACAUCUGGGAUUCCCAACUCAACUGCGCAUUUUACACAUGCAGAUUUCUUGAAAUGGAACAUUGCAUUCCACACAUGAGUUUGAGCU